rnacentral:lncRNA from 1 species
UACCAACUAUAAGUAGGCUUGCUCUGUUUUCAUUUUAGUACUGUUUAUUUUGUGGGGUUCUUUUUCUUUUUAGUACUGUUAGGUGCAGCAUUUUCAUUAUCUCUCUUUGUAAUGGUGUUAGUUGUUAGGUGCAGAUUCUGCCCAAACAGAAAAUAUGUUAGGUGCAGUAUUUUCAUACCUGCACAAUAUUUUUGUAGUAUGUAACAUAGUAUGAUUACAGUGGCAGAACUUCUUGUCGAUUCCCAAAUGUUUAAGAUGCUAACUCUUGUCUGAUAUGCUCAUCAUGUGUGGCCCUUUGUUUGAUACAUAAUGAAAUUGGUAAAAUCAAAUGCGCUGCCCUGUGUUUAUAAGCAAGAGUUUGCUGAAGUCAAGUAAAAUGUUUGGUUGGUAGGGGUAGUUGGGCAGGGAGUUUGGACCCAUCGAUUUCAACUGUAUCAUGUCGUCUGUACCAGUUUGUAUUGGUGUGAUGUGCAAUAUUUUUCCUAUAUGCCGGAUUUUGGAACAAGCACAGGAUAACUGGCAUGUUAUAUUGAUUUGCUUAUGGUUAUGAAGUUAUUUUUUGCUUUUACUUUCUAAUAUGUUUCAUGGCAGUGUGUUGCCUCUUGUUUGAUACCUGACAAAUGUGGUGUUGCCUCUUGUUUGAUACCUAACAAAUGUGAACUAUACGAACACUACAUGUGUACUAUUUUCUGUUUCGGUAUUGAUGUCAAAUGGUAGUGUAAUGUCCGCACUGAACGAUCUCAGACGGUAGCAUAAUCUGAUUACUACACUUACCUCCGAGUCCCACACGUACAUGCUCAAACGUGAUGCUGCAUAGUAACGGACAAUUGAACAUCUAGUAUAAGAAAGACUAGGUUGAUCCUGUAGUGUAUAGUGAAGCCAGACAAUUAACUGCAUCAAGCUAAGCUGGAAAUCUAAUCCGCACGAAGAAGGGCGGCAUGUGCCGAUGUCCCAAGAGUAUGCGUCGACCGAAAAAAUGGAAGAUUUAUCAAGGCCCUCCUCUUUGGACAAGUCCAUGUGCUCAUAUCCAAGAGUACAGGUCACCCUGACAAGAAAAACAAAUGGCGAGUAGUGAUACUUUAGUGCAUACUGAGAGCGCUGUUAGAAUGUUGGUGAGCUGUGUUUCUAGAAACUAUGUCCAUGUUAGUUGCGAUAGUAGCCUUAAGUUUCAAACCAUACAAAAAACCGAGUUUGUUGAAAUGACACUUGCAUUGGAUUUAUUACUAUACUGGGCCAUGAUAGCAAUACUGGAACCGAAAUAAAAGUGGACUCAUCUCAUCUUUAUCACAAAACAACAUGUUUUGCUACAUGGUCGUUUAAUGAGACUGUAUUUUGUAAAAAUACCCCUUUCCAAGAUAAUAUACUUGCGUGGCACUUAUAGUUUGCUAAGAUGUUUCUGCCGAAAGGUGGUUUAGUUCAAGAGGACUUCUUUGACAAAGCUAUUUCCCAUUCUGAUGUUGCUCUCAGGAUGAUGUAUUGUGUGUAUUAUUUAAAAGCUGUUCAAGGACAUAAAAUGUGUGUAUGAACACCCAUAUAAUAAAUCAAUAGGAAAAAUAUUUUUUGUCCUAACACCCCAAAACAAAUAAAAUGACAUCUGAAGAUAAAAUAAUCUGUUACAUGCAAAUAAAUGUCGAUAUUCUCUGGAAAGUGUGCUAACACCCACAAGAUUGGUGACAACUAAAAAAAUGAUGACAAAGUAAAAAAACACUUCCAUCCGAGAUAUAGCUGAAGACAUAAAAACAUGUAUGCUCACACUUGUUUGUAAACGUUUAGAAAAUUGCUAAAGGUUACUGAAACGAAAAGUUGAGCACCCCUCCCCCUCCCNNNNNNNNNNNNNNNNNNNNNNNNNNNNNNNNNNNNNNNNNNNNNNNNNNNNNNNNNNNNNNNNNNNNNNNNNNNNNNNNNNNNNNNNNNNNNNNNNNNNNNNNNNNNNNNNNNNNNNNNNNNNNNNNNNNNNNNNNNNNNNNNNNNNNNNNNNNNNNNNNNNNNNNNNNNNNNNNNNNNNNNNNNNNNNNNNNNNNNNNNNNNNNNNNNNNNNNNNNNNNNNNNNNNNNNNNNNNNNNNNNNNNNNNNCUCCCUGCAUUGUGUGGCGUCGUUGAGGUUCCUCUCGAGGAGUCAGGGCUUCGGGUGAAAACCCUUGACCAGUCCAUCGGUUUCGACGACGGCGGCACGGUGUGUCAUCUCCCUCUUGAGGUCGUCGUCAUUUAGCCCAGGUUACCUCUAGUGCGCCACGCUGUCAUAGGCAGACAUUCUCAGAUCCUAUCUUGGAGCUCCGUCAAAUCUAGCAUAGGCGGAUUCACUUACCUCAUAUGUUUUACAUGGGUCCUCUUUGGUUCCUUUCAGGUCCGCGUUUUCCACAGGCAGGUCCGGGCUCCACGAUCCGGAGCGGGAGGGCAGGGGCCCCUCUUCGGCGGAGUCUUGGAGUGAGUGGCCUCUCCAAUUUUCUUGCAUUUUCCUUUGAUCUGCUUUGUAAGAGGUUCUUUAUCAUCACCAUGUAUCGGUUUCGCUGUGUUGCUUUAUAUAUAAAGUGGGACGGAAGCCUUUUUCAGUAAAGGUUAUUGAAACGAAAUCCCAGUGAAAAAAUUCAAACCUACAGAAACAUCUAGUAUCUCAAAAUGUAUGCACCAUAUUCUCAGUUCGUGAAACUGGAGUUGAUCUUGUUGGAGCAUCUCUAGCAGAUGCGUCAAUAGCUAAAUUUGAGGACAAAGAUUUCGUUUUAGUGAAUUAAGCAUCAGCUACAAGAUCCCCUAAAUCAUUACCGCAUACAAAAUUUGACUUUUGAAAAUUACUCAAUGUUUUGUAGGACCGAUGGUCCACCGUAUUAUAUUGAAGCAUGAGGAGGCAUUGUUAUCGCCAAUGAAGAAUGAUAUUCAUUUGAACAAUGAUAGCCUCCCUCCAUUGAAGAUUAAUAAAUAUUAUCAUUUGUAGUUAUCUCGUUUUCCAACUAGAUAUGAGCAAGUACAUUGGUUGUGUAAAGAGUGCUUUUAAGGUGUGCUUUUGACUCAAAUAUCUGAAAUGAUAUUUCAGUUCUAUAAUAUUAAGUUUGAAUUUUGUUACUUUACCUGAUUUUAAUUGAUAAAGGAGGCUAUGAUCCUUUCAUUAUUCAGAUUCUUUGGUCUCUAAAUUAAUGAGGUUGUUAAUAUUCAAAUGUUCGAUGCUGCAUAAAGUGGUGGUUAACGAUUCUAUAGGUGGUUGAAUUGAAUUUAUAGUAAAUGUAAUGGUCGUUGAAGGAUAUCAAAAUGGUACAGAGAAUGGUCGUUACUAAUACAAAGAGGACGUUAAUGAUACUUCGGUCAACCAUGGAAAAUUUAUUUAUGAUGAAAAAGGUGGCCGUGACCAUUGUGGUUCUUAUUGCCUCACGAUUGACGAUGACACACCAUCCAAUCUUUACAAGAAUAAGGACGGGCAAAAUAUGCAAUCAUUAUUAAACAAUGGAGUCUAUAACAACGGCUAACAACCACUAGAUUGUGGUCAUUAUUGAUGUUUAGCGACCACAACCUAACUUUUAAUAACUCCAUAUACCGCCAUUAAAAACGUUUUUUCUUGUAGCGGCUUGUGAUCCAGCCGAGUCUGUAUGCAAACUACAUGUGUGUAGUGAAAAUAAGCUGCCUUUCCACCUGUACACAAGCACGUACCGGAGGCUAUUUAGUACUCCCUCCGUUCCCAAAUAAGUGACUCGACUUUGCACUAAUUUUAUAAAGUUAGUACAAAGUUGAGUCACUUAUUUUUGGACGGAGGGAGUACAAGCUAGCCAGAUCAAUCUGUCUUGGAUUUGAUGAUCACAUGACCGUGUCAGUUCUGUGUUAUUUUCCUUGCUUGAUCUGAGCUUGUUACCCAUGGGUUACACAAGUGUAAACAUAUGCUAUACUAGCUAACUACAAGUAGAACUCAAUGAUUGAUUCUUGCCCAACCCGGAUUUAGACUCGUGGUUAUUUCCGACAAAUUGCAGAUGCAACAAUUGACAAAUCCAGUCUGUGCAGUAAUUACAGUACAAUGUAGUUGUAAAAUACUGGUGUUUGAACUCUCUAUAGAGGCGUCUCUACAACAAGUGCAGCAGUGCAGAUAUGACUAUAUAUCGAGAAACUGAACAGGCUACUGUACAUAGAUGGAGCCAUCAUAUACAUGUCUCCUGGAAUCUCACUCGCACCCCCCGACCUAGGGUUCCUCCCUCCCUCCCACCGCCGCCGCCGGCCAUCCUAGGCCCCGCCACCGCUGCCGGUCGCCGGCCGCCCCCGCCCCCUCCCCCCCUCCCCCUUCCCCCGGAUCCGCUCCGCACCGCCUCCCCGAUAGGUGGCCGGGGCAGCGCGAGCCCUGCCUCCCCUUCGGCCGCCCUCGUCGCUCCUUUCCUCCCUGCUGCCGCCGACGGGCGCCCCCGGCGCUGGCCGGGUGGUGUUGGCGGCGGCGGGGCCUGCCUGUCCCUGCACGCGCGGCUCCUUGCCCGGGGCAUGGGGGCGGCGGCGCCCCUCAGCCUGAUGACGGCCCGGCGUCCCGACGUGGUGGCCAGCGGCUCGCUCGGUGGUGGCGCGGCCCCUUGGCGGCGAGACGUCAUGGUGGCGCUGGUUGGCCGGUGGCGCGCCCCCGGCCCAGAUCGGGGCCCGCAGGCCCCAUCUGGGUCCUAGCGGGCCGGCCCCCGGCGUGGCUUCGUCGUCGUCUGUGUGGUGAGGUGGUGGAGCAGCUCGGACGGGGGGCAGCGAGGCUGACGACAUGCCAGCUGUGGUGCGGAGGCGGGAGUUGUCCGGGCCUGUGGGGCCACGGGCCCGGCAGGCUCCCGCUUUGGCAUCCGGUCGGCUACCGUCGUGGACGGUGAAGGUGGGGCCCUCCAGUAUGCUGACGGUGCUGCUGCCCUAGUCCCGGCUCCCUUUCCUCGUUGUGCAGGCCAUCUUCGCGGUGCCGUGGUGAGACAGUGUGGGAAGCUUCGUGUCCGUGUGCACAGGGUGGUGGUUGGUUUGGUGGUGAGCACCGGAGUGCCUGAGGUGGAGGAUGGGAUCGGGAGAAAUCCCUGUUGGCUUGGCCGACACCGACGUGGUGGCGCCUGAGGGUGCCAUCAGACCUUCCUGGAGGGCGUCGGGGCUACCCUUCCACUUUCUUCACCGUGUACCGAGGGAAACCCUUGGCAGCAGCGUCGUCAUCGUCGCGUCCCUUCUUGGGGGUGUUGAUUGGUACCGAUGCUUCAGAGUCUCGGAGAUUGGGGGACGAUUUCCGGUGGAAGCAGCGGUCGCGAGGCUCUGCCAUCUUUGUCGAGCCGCCGUUAUCGGCAUUUGUUUCUUUUCUUUUUUCUCUUUCUUUUCUUUUCUUUUUUCUCCGCCAUCUUCCGCCCCAGCAUCUAUCGUUGGUUGUAUCGGAUGUUUGCUUUGUAAUACAAAGCGGGGGAAACCUUUUUCUCAUAUACAUGUCUCCUAACGUUUCCCAAGCAUAUAUUGUUAAGUGCCAUUCUCCACCUCCGCGAUGGAAACUGGCAUCCGUUAAAAAUGAUUUUUCUUGUACUAGCUUGUCAUCCGGCUGAGUCUGUAUGCAAACUACACGUGUAGCGAUGGUUUUCAAUUUUAGUUUCAGCAAAAUUUCAGCACCAACCGAAGCCAAAUGACCAAAAUAUUGACUUGAAUUCAAAUAAUUUUUUUGAAAUUUUGAAAAAAUAUUUUGAAUUCUUGUGUUGUACUGAAAUGGCUGAAAUAUUUUGGCUGAAACGUAAUAUUUCAGUGUCUAUUGAAAUUCAAUGAAUUUCACUGAAAUGUCACUGAAAGUGAAAACCAUGUAGCGAAAACACACUGCGUUUCCACCAGUACACAAGAUUGUACAGGAGAGCUAUCUAGUACAAGCUAGUCAGAUCGAUCUGUCUUGGCACAACUUGGUGAAACAGGCACGCGACACAACCCGGGGGCCUGCACAGCGAUUUGAUGGUCAAAGGACCCUGUCAGUCCUUUGUUAUUUUACUUGAUUGAUCUGAGUUUCAUACCCAUGGGUUACACAGACUGUAAAUAGCAGCUAUACUAGCUAACUAAAAGUACAACUCAGUGACUAUUCUUUUCCAAUCCAGACAUAGACUCGUGGUUAUUUUAGACAAAUUGUUGAUGCAACAAUUGACGAAUGCAAUCUGUACAGUGCAAUAAUUACACUGAUGCUUGAACCCUCUAUAGAGGCGUAUCUUCAUUCUUCAGUCAGGGCUGCAGUGCAAUGACUAUAUACCGAGAAACUAAUCAGGCCAGAGCCAUAUAGCCGGAUCCACCAUAUUUGCAAUGUUGUCUUCCUAACGCUUCCCAAGCCUAGAUUGUUAUCAAUUGCCAUUGUCCACCACUGUGAUGCAAGCUAGCAUCUUGUUUUGUGCAUGAUGCCCCAGUGCUGCACACGCGAGGAACAACAUUGAGAGCGGCGAGGUGGCAAGACAUUGGAGCACACUUCAUAAGAGAUGUUGGUGGCUAUGGACCUCUAUACAUGUGAGGCUUUGUUACUCCUCUUUUUUGUGUGUCGAGUUGUCCAUCAAUUCAUAUGGACCCUACCUAAGGAAAGAGGUUGUGGUUUUGGCGUGCAACCACUAGUUGUUCUUUUGCAUGCCGCCAGCUAAAAAGUGUGGAGAAUGGUUGGAGGAAAAGCAACUAAUAGUUGUUGCGAACAAUUUAAUCAUGCUCAUCGUAUGUCUUUAAAUUCUGAAGGGAUGUACAAAGUUAUGUGUCAAAAAUAGAAGUAUCCAAGUUGAUGCUGGAAGAGUCACAGUCGUGGUUGAUUCACUAGGCCCGAGGCCACCUCUCCGUUUGUCCAUGACAUGGCAAAACGGGACCUACAUGAUGCCAAUAUCUAUCUAGUAUAAAGAAAUGGCAUUAUAUGUGUAACCAUGCAUAAAGAAGCGGGUGUUUCCUCCGGGCAAGUUUGCUAUUGAUGUGCGGUCAAACAAAGGGAAAAGAACAAAAAAGGCAUGUGUGUAUUUUCUCUCACUCAUUUGAGCAGGUGUGAGUUGCUCAAUAGUCCUUUGAUCCUUUCAUUGAUAAAAUGUCCAAAUAGGCCAUGACUGUGUGUGGAGGAUUGCCAGGUAAUCCAAGCAUAAGCCCUAAAAUUAAAGAUGGAAUCUAGCCAUAGAAUGCAUGUUGCAACAAAGAAUUGUCUUGAUGUGUCCGUGAGCUCGGUCCAUAUAUACGAGGCAAAUAGAGCCGUACCCACUAACACAUUCAGAUACUUGCAUCCUCAUCCUCUUGACCACCUCCUUAGAGCAUGUAUAUGCAUUUUCUUAGCAUGAUUAUCAAGGACCAAGGUUCAUCAUGUUUAGAGCAUCUCAAGCCUCAUUUGUUGUAUUUUUUCUCUGAAAUGCUCAUAAAAAUGACAUCGGGCACAACUUAGGAUAUGGUUGCCCAUUGUCUCAUUGACUGCCUUGUUGCCUAUCACAACCGCGCAAACUACAUGCUCAGGCAUGGGGCUCUUCAUCCACCCUUCCCAUGCACCUCAAUUAAUUAUCAUCAUCAAGCAUGGGGUACUAUAUCCUUCAGUGUAGACAUGGCCCUCUUCUUCAAUUUCCCUCCAUAUCUGAAGCAACAUAAUGAAGACAGAGAAUCCCCCAACCACACUGUGGUGCAAAUCAAUGGUGAAGAAGGCUCUACCACUUAGCUACCAUGCCCAUGUAAACAUUCCUAGGGAUCAAACACUCAUUAGAGCGUUCGUAACACUUUUGUACUUAUGCAAAUUACAUGUAUCUAUUGCAUAUCACCCUAACUCUAAAAUUUGUGAAAUGUUGUUCCAGGCACUCCUUGUCCUUGCUAUAUAUGACGAUAGCAAGCAAUGCUGGUGCAGAUGGUUCAGCUGUCGCAGAGAAUAUUCUUGAAAGCAAGUGGUGAGUUGGGUACAAGUUCGAAGACCUUGUUAAGGCCGGCGCGGUUGAUCCGUGUCGGGUUGCAAGAUGCGUGCUCCAGAACUCUGCUUCUAUCGCAGGGCUAAUUCUAAUGUCCCAAGCAACGAUGCUUGAUAAGAUAAAGAAUUGGAAGAUUACUAGUGAGGAGAACGAAGCUUUGCUUACCUCUCUCUCCGACGAUGAGAUUUAUGAGAUCAUCCGCUCGGCAAACCCUAAUUCAGCAUCGGGCCCUGAUGGCUUCUCCAUUCCUUUCUUUAGAAAGUUUUGGCCCCAAUUGUGUAACCUCAUCUGUCCUAUAAUUCAAGGCUUCUGUUUGGGGGCGGUUGAUAUCUCUCGGUUGAACUACGCUGUCAUCACCCUCAUUCCUAAAGUCAAGGGUGCGGAUAUUAUCUCACAAUUUAGCCUAUCGCUCUCAUCAACAACUUUGCAAAAUUCCCUACCAAAGGCUUCGCCAUGUGCCUGUCCCCCGUCGCUCAUCGGAUCCUUAGUCCUUUCCAAUCUACUUUUGUCAAAGGGAGAUUCAUUCUCGAUGGUAUCCUGUGUCGUCACGAAAUAGUUCAUGAUCUUCGGGUGCGAGGCACCAAGGUGGUGAUCCUUAAGCUUGAUUUUGAGAAGGCCUAUGACUAGGUCAAUUGGAAACUUGGAAUUCUCCGCGUCAGGUCCUGGUGGCCAUGGGCUUUUAUGGGGCAUAGAUUCACAUGAUUAUGUAGUUGGUGAUGGGUGGUCACAUUGCGGUCUCGGUUAAUGGCAGGGUCAUCAAUUUUUUUCCCAAACGGCAGGGGCUUGAGACAAGGGAACCCGGCAUCCCCUCUUUUGUUUAAUUUCGCCGCUAAUGCUUUAUCUCGUAUCCUGUCGAGGGUGGCCUCGGCUGGGCAUAUUUCCCCUGUUAGAUCCCAUCUUGUUCCUGAGGGAAUUAUCUAUCUUCAAUAUGCGGACGAUACUAUUAUCAUGGUUGAACUUAACGACGAUUGUAUCGCCCACCUUAAGUUUCUAUUGUUGUGCUUUGAAGCCUUGUCGAGGCUUAAGAUCAACUUUGCUAAGAGAUAAGUGAUUGUCACCGGGUUGUCAGAGGCCGAGGCCCUACGGGUCUCUCAACUUCUUAACUGCUCUUUGGGCUCUUUGCCCUUCAAAUACCUGGGACUCCAUAUUUCUCCGGAGAAGCUGCUUGCUAGAGAUUUUGCUCCAGUGGUAACGAAAGUGGGCAACUGAGUUAUGCCUUGGUGGGGCAGAUAUAACACCCAGGCAUGCCAAGGUUGCCCUUAUUAAUGCUUGCCUCUCAUCCCUUCCCAUGUUCUUGAUGGGCUUUUACCUUCUCUCGGGUGGCACACACGCGGGGUUUGAUAAGCAUAGGGGUGCCUUCUAUUGGAAUGCGGCGGAUAGCAAACGCAAAUAUAGGCUGGUUAAAUGGAAACAGAUUUGUAGACGCAAGAACCUUGGGGGGUUGGGCAUUAUUAAUAUCGCGAUCAUAAACAAGUGUGUUAUCAUCAAAUGGUGGUGGAAGAUCAUGACUAACGCGGAGAACCCGCUAUGGCUUAAUAUCCUCAAAGCCAAAUAUUACCCUAAUUCUAGCCCCAUGUUUGCUUCCUCCUCGGGCAGAUCUCAAAUUUCGGAAUACCUUGUCAAAGUUUGCCCGUUGUUUAAAUCUCACACUAGUGCAGAACCGGGAAAUAUCACCGGUUCGUAAGGCCCUUUAGUGCCGGUUCGGUAACCUGCACUAAAGUGUGGGCACUAAAGCCCCCCUCCCCCCCCGUUUAGUACCGGUUCAGCAUGAACCGGUGCUAAAGGGCAACCACGUGGCACGAGCGAGCUUCGGGGGCAGGGAACCCUUUAGUACCGGUUGGUGUCACCAACCUUUAUUAAAAGGUUGGGGGGGUUGGGUUUAUGAUUUCUUUUUCAUUUAAUUUUGUGUUUUCCAUUUAAUUCUUUUUCGUUUGCUGGUAUUUUCCGAUACUACAUAUUGUACACGUUAUGCAUAUAUAUAAAUAGAAUUUCUAGCAGAAACGAUCAUAAUAUAUAUAUAUAUAUAUAUAUAUAUAUAUAUAUAGUAGCACUAUUCUAGUCCCAGGAUUAGAAUAACUAUUUGGAUCACGUCACACCCCUAUAUAGGGCCCGGUGGACUUUCCCGAACUCCCCGAACCCGCGCAGGAAAAAAACACCUACUCUUCCACCACUUUCCCUCGAUCCCCAACCUCCCUCGAUCUCUCCCCCUCUCUUCGAUCUCCCGGCGCCACCGCCCCCCGCUUCCCCUGCCUCCNNNNNNNNNNNNNNNNNNNNNNNNNNNNNNNNNNNNNNNNNNNNNNNNNNNNNNNNNNNNNNNNNNNNNNNNNNNNNNNNNNNNNNNNNNNNNNNNNNNNNNNNNNNNNNNNNNNNNNNNNNNNNNNNNNNNNNNNNNNNNNNNNNNNNNNNNNNNNNNNNNNNNNNNNNNNNNNNNNNNNNNNNNNNNNNNNNNNNNNNNNNNNNNNNNNNNNNNNNNNNNNNNNNNNNNNNNNNNNNNNNNNNNNNNNNNNNNNNNNNNNNNNNNNNNNNNNNNNNNNNNNNNNNNNNNNNNNNNNNNNNNNNNNNNNNNNNNNNNNNNNNNNNNNNNNNNNNNNNNNNNNNNNNNNNNNNNNNNNNNNNNNNNNNNNNNNNNNNNNNNNNNNNNNNNNNNNNNNNNNNNNNNNNNNNNNNNNNNNNNNNNNNNNNNNNNNNNNNAGGCGUCGCCGCCCCCGCUUCCCCUGCAUCCAGGCGUUGCCACCCCCUGCUUCCCCUGCCUCGAGGCGUCGUUGACCCAACCUUCCACCGCCGCCCCUUGCUCUGGUGCGCCGCCCACCUCUACCAACCGGCGUCGGAGCCGUCCCUCGCCCCGGAUCGCACCGCCGCCACUGUCCCAUGAUGGGGAUCGUGUCGCACGCAUCGUCCCAUGAUGGGGAUCGCACCACUGCAACCACCACCGCCCCACCUCCCAUCGUCGGGAUCCUGCUGCCGCGUGACUACCACCGGGAUCCUCCCACCGUGCGUCCUUUGUCCACCUACUGCCGCGAACUUCUUCCACCCGCCAUCGUGACCUUCUUCCCUCCCAUGCCUCCAACGGCCGCUCUCGCAUCGGAUCCCGCCGUCAGCCGCCACCUUGAUGGACCUAUGCGAUGGUGGAUCCCACCAUGAUGGACCCGUGCUGCCCAGUCUCCCCUCGCUGCGCCCAGCUACUCCUCCAGGUGAUGUCCCCGCGAUGAGCGUCGCCUCGAUCCCGAUGCUCUGUCCCCUGUCCCCCGUCUCGUGCACACGGUUCUUGUUUGGCCCCGUGGCGUCCGGAUGUAGCAGUUCAAACAUGUGAGUUUGUGAAGGAAGAUGGAUAUAGAGGUUGCAGAUUGCAAAUUAUUUUCUCUGAAAAAAUUCAGUAGUAACACAGGCAGCAAAUCACUUUCUAAAAAAAUGCUACUCUUUCUUCAUUUUGUUUUACCUAGAAGUUCAUAUAAAUUCAUGCGACAUAAAAUACCAUUUACAUGUAAAUGAUGUGAGGAGGUCGAAUAUAAAAGGCACACAUUCAAAUAUAGUAAAACUAGUUUACAAAAAAACUAGGAUUUUUUGCCAUUACUAAAAUAAAUAAAACCAAGAAGUCCAAAUUUUUAAAAAGGAGUAGUUGGACGUUCAUACAAAAUUCAUAUUUUUCUCAUAAUUAAUGAAUGAAAAACAAGAAGUUCAAAAAUAAAAAAACAAGAAGUAUAAUUUUUUAAAAUAGAGAAUUUCAAAAUUCACAAAAAAGGAUUUUCAUUGUUUCAGAAACAAAAAACUCUAGAAGUUCAAAUUUCAAUAAUGGACCGGUUCAAUAUUUAUACAAAACUAGGAUUUUUUUUCAUUACUAAAUGAAAUAAAAUAAGAAGUCCAAUUUAAAAAAAUAGAAAAAUAAAAGUUUAAAAGUUUUUCUGUAUAAAAAUGAAAUACAAUUCUUUACUCAAAAAUAUAAAAAGGUGAAGUUAAAAUUGAAAUAACAGAGAAGUUCAGAGUUUAUUAAAACCUAGGAUUUACGUAUUCAAAAAAUAAAAAAUAGAACACCAUUUUUGCACUUUUAAAAACAACUCAUAAACGAAAAAAUGGUUGCUAGAAGUUCAAGUGCUUGGCAAGAAAAAGUUGAAAAAUUCUUCUGACAGAGGUUCACCAUGUAUUUAGAUGUCGAAAAUACAUAAAAAAUAUGUUAUUUUUGUGUUUUAAAAUAAUUCUCUCAAACCAGAGAGAAGUUCAAAGUGAUGACAACCGGAACUUCACGUACUACAUGGUGUGUAUUUCAUAUAAGAAAAAAUACAAAAAAAGUGAAACAGGGUGAAGUUCAAACAAAGAUGCCCCAGAAGUUCAACUACUUCACGUAGUGCAAAAAACACCAUGUAAAAAUCAGCACGUCAAAAACAGAGUGAAGUUCGAACAGACACAUCCUAGAAGUUCAACUACUUCACGCGGUGUAUUUCCAUUCGUGAUGAAGGCAGAAAUCAUGAUCUCGUCAUUUUCUAAUCACUUCAAAACAAUAGGAAAUCAUUUGUGUAAGUUCAAGUCCUUCAUCGGAGAAAGUUCAAAAAAUUAUUGUGAGAGAGAUUUGUAUAAAAGGAAUACCAUUUGUGUGACACUAACCAAUGGAUGAAAAAAUUACAAGCGAAAAUACGUCACAGAAGUUCAACUGAAAACAACAGGAAGUUCAACUACUACACUGAAUGAAUUUCACAUGAAAAACUUUUAAAACCGUUGCGAGUAUGAAAAAGUGAUCAACACGGGAAAGUUGCGUGUCUACAGCAGCUUUCCAUCGGUAUAUCGCUUGCUCAAUUCCGGUGAGUGUUCCAGUGCAUUGAUGGAGAGCCACGGGCAAAAAAAGCACGUGAAAAACAGAGUGAAGUUCAAGGUUUCAUACCGAGAAGUUCAGGUACUUCACGCGAUGCAUUUUGACCAAUCUGUUUCGCGAUAAAGAUAGAACGAAUGAUCUCGCCGUUUUUGAAAUUACUUGAAAACGGCUAGGAAUCAGAGAAAAUCAUCAACAUGAAAAAGUUUCGCAUUUUCCGUAGCUUUUCAGCGGUAUAUUAUUUGCCCCAUUCCGAUAAAGUUUGUAGAAGUUACGGCGAAAAUACGUUUUUUGCCAUUUUUGAAACUGACUUAAAACCGUAAAGAAUUGGGAGAAACAAUACAUACUAAAAAGUUUCGCAUUUGUUCAAGCUUUCCAACGCCAUAUCAUUUGCUGCAUUUGGACGCACGGUUAAAACAUUAGCUCAAAAAUAUGAACUUGGUAGGAUUUGGACCAUUUUCUAAAUUACUCUUAAACCAUUCAAAAUUAGAAAAAACCUUUCUAGAUGAAAAAGUAGCGCAUUUUCAUAAGCUUUCCAACACCGUAUCAUAUGCCUCCAUUGGAUUAGCCGUUUAGAAAUGACAUCGAAAAAACGAACUCAGCUGUACGGUUUACAAAAUUUUACGUUUUUUCAAAUUAAUCUUUAACCAUAGGGAAUUAGAUAAAACUUUCAACAUGUGGAAGGAGCGGUUUUGCAGCAGCUUUCCAACGCCAUAUUAUAUGCCUCAUUUCGAUAAACGGUUUAGAAAUGUGAUUGAAAAUAUGAUUCACGUUUUUUAUGCGAAGAAAAAACGGUUUUCAAAACUGCUCUUAAACCGCUUAUAUUUUGCCAAAAAUUUAAGUUGAGUCAUGAUAUUGGUGUCCAUAGCUUUCCAACGGUAUAUCGCAAGCCCCAUUUGGGCAAUGUUGGUGGAAGUUCAACCUAGUUCAUAGGGAAGUUCAACAUACUACUAGCGGCGCAGAUUAGGUUGUGAUCAGAAUAUUAUUCUGAUCCCGUGAUCAGAAUAGUGUUUAUAUAUAUAUAUACAUACAUACAUGUGUGUAUAUAUGUGUGAAUUAAUUAAUGGUGGUUGUGAGACAUUCGAUNNNNNNNNNNNNNNNNNNNNNNNNNNNNNNNNNNNNNNNNNNNNNNNNNNNNNNNNNNNNNNNNNNNNNNNNNNNNNNNNNNNNNNNNNNNNNNNNNNNNNNNNNNNNNNNNNNNNNNNNNNNNNNNNNNNNNNNNNNNNNNNNNNNNNNNNNNNNNNNNNNNNNNNNNNNNNNNNNNNNNNNNNNNNNNNNNNNNNNNNNNNNNNNNNNNNNNNNNNNNNNNNNNNNNNNNNNNNNNNNNNNNNNNNNNNNNNNNNNNNNNNNNNNNNNNNNNNNNNNNNNNNNNNNNNNNNNNNNNNNNNNNNNNNNNNNNNNNNNNNNNNNNNNNNNNNNNNNNNNNNNNNNNNNNNNNNNNNNNNNNNNNNNNNNNNNNNNNNNNNNNNNNNNNNNNNNNNNNNNNNNNNNNNNNNNNNNNNNNNNNNNNNNNNNNNNNNNNNAUGAGCCACUUCCAAUUGUUAUCGUGCUCCGAAGGCACCAAUUAGGCUAUACACAAUUAGCUAGCUAUCUACAAUUUCUCCUAAUUGGUGCCUUCGGAGCCAGUGACAUUAGCCUAAUGGUGCCUUCGGAGCACGAUAACAAUUGGAAGUGGUUCAUGGGGGCGGUAGCGGGUAAUAGUAUUCUCCUUUGGGAUCUAUGACCUGGUCGAGCAAAAAUCCCGCUAUUUCCUCUUGAAUUGCUUUUAUGCGAUCCUUUGUUAGGAGCUUCUCCAGCACCUCUUUGAACUAUUAAGAAGGAGAUCAAUAUGCAUGUGUAUUAGUUGUGUGACUAGAUAUCGAUAAUGGUGUAAAAAUUGUGAAUAGUGUUCUGACAAACGUACCCACUCCUGUCUUUAAGAUCUGCUCCUUUCGGAUGCCAUAAUGUGAAUGUUCUCGCAAACGUAGUAUGCACACAGAUUAUUCCCCGACGCCUGCUUUAGGGCCUUUACGAGAAUGGAAUUUGAUCGGAUAAUAAUUAAUCAAGCAUGAUAAUUAAAGAGAUGGCAGCUAGCUAGUACUACUUAAUUACUUACCUGGAGUCGAUACCAUUUCAGAUUUUGUUUCCAUGGGCCUGGAGUGGCCCUGAUGAACUUUGCCCAAGCCCUGCCCGCCGACAAAGAAAAUGAAUAAAUGGGUUAUUAAAUAGUUGUUAUCAGGAAAUGACGAACUAAUUAAAUAGGCCGAGAUAUAGUUAAUUAUGAUUGAAAUUACCUGUUGACUAUCCCCUUCACGAUGGUGUAGUCACUUGCUUUCUUAAGUAGUGAGUCUAGUACUUCAACUGUUCCUUCAUCAACUUUAAUGAUUAACAAGAUCCAGUGAAAUCUGCAUGCACACACGUUUGCAUGUCUUAAUUAAGCGGGCAUAUGUAAGCAAAAACAUGUAGCUAGCUAGUAGGCAAAAAACAGAAUUUGUAGUACAAGACAAUGUGACUCACUCGAAGUUGUAAGGAAAUAGUAUAUCUUCAUUGUAUAUCUUCAUUAAUGGUAUUUGGGUCAACGAACCUAAUGCCAUAGCGUCCACCUUUUUUCAUUUCAUAAAUCUUCAUCCUGCAUAAUACCACAGAAAAGAAUAUAGUGAGGAUAAUUACAGGUAAUGAUUGAUCGAAAUGAUCACUACAGCUAGCUUAAGACUUAAAUUAUAGAAAGAAAUCACUUACAGACAAUAGCAACUGACGAUAGAUUUGUCGAGUGCGUCUUGAUUGUAUAGCUGAAAUAGUUCUGAAUACUCAACGGACACAGCUAUCUCAUGGUAGUAAUGAUCCUUCUUGACAUUCACCAUGGGGGACUCUCGAUUGGAAAUCUUGGUAAUGUCCAUGUACCAUUGAUGCAAUUCAUACAUUCUCGUUGGGAGCUUCUUGACCUCGUCUGGCUCGACCAAAGGUUGGCCCCGGACAUAUUUCCGUUUUAUUUCCUCCUCUCUAGUCGGAGACAUGGGCUUGAUAUCGAGGAGUUGUCCAACAGUGAUCAUGAGCGUUUCAGCCUGCUCAAUAUGCUCCUCGGUUAUUACCACAUCGCCCAGCCCGGGAACGUUAACAGUUUGCCCACAAUAAUAUUGGGCGCGCCUACUCUCAUGUGUUGUUGGCACAACAAGUGGGGGGAUUGAUUGCGCCGCCUGUUCUCCCAGCUGGGGAACGGUUUUACCGCUCCUUUUGCCAGCUAAUUUGCUCGAGCUCGAGCUCGCCUCUUUCUGUAGACGUGCUCAAUUUAACUUCUUGAUGUGGUGCUCAUAGUCUGUGUCAACAGGCUUGGGAGCUGUGCUCUAGCCAUACGAAUGAAGUGGUCAAUCUUUUCCUCAGGCACUUUCUCCCUUGGCGGCGGUGGCGGUUUCGGUGCAAAAUGGGCUUCCACCUCGGCCUUCGAUAUGGCUACGUUUUCCUCCUCGGACUUGCCGUAAGGCCUCUGCGGAAGAGGCGCGAGGCUUGGACCAUAUUGAAAUCGCUUGCCUCCGCAUGUACCUCCAGUACUACCUCGACUUGUACCGCUACACACCAUAGCUGAGGCGGCUCUCUUCCGUGAUUGCUGAGGCGGCAAAGACGGCCGACGUGACUGAGUUGGAGGAGGAGGAGUGGCCUGAAGCUGUGCCGGACUUGGAGGAGGAGUGGCCUGAAGCUGUGCCGGACUUGGAGGAGGAGUGGCCUGACGCUUUGCCGGACUUGGAGGAGGAGGAGUGGCCUGAAGCUGUGCCGGACUUGGAGGAGGAGUGGCCUGACGCAUUAGUGGACUUGGAGGAGCAGGAGUCUGCUGACUCGGUGGCGGACUUCGACGAGGAGUCGGAUGACGCGGUGUCGGUGGCCUUCGAAAGAUGAUGCAAUCCUUUCUCCAUAGGAUGAUACGACGUAUGGCCUCUCCCAAUGUGUGCUCAUCGUCACCUCCAGGAAUGUCAAGCUGUAGCCCCGAAUAUGGGUCCACCACCUCAUCAACCAAGACACGAGCAUAGCCCGCUGGAAUCGAGUUGCAAUGGAAGGUUGCCUCGGGGGGAUUAGUAAAAGCAACGGCGUCCGCCACCUUCAUGGAUAUGUUCUUCAUUUUGAAGUGUAGCUCGCAAUUAGUGUUCUCCAUGAUGUCAUCCACGGGGUAUCUAUCCAGCAUUGCGUCGCCCGGGGAGGAACCCACGAUGCUUCUCGGCAUGGAUGGGGCGGUGCUAUCCAAUGCUGGAUCAUUCGCUAGCUGCUGCAGCUGCUGAGACCCCCUUUGCUGGCUAAGUGAGUCGAUCUGCUCCUACUGCCACUGGAAUUUGACUGCCAAGUCCGCGUGCGCUGAUUCUAGGCCUUGAAGGCGUUCAUAGUCCAGCUUCCUCUGCUCCUCCUCCAUCUUCCUCUUCUUCUCCUCCGCAAUCUUCUUUCUUGAACGGGUUCUGUAGUCGGCGUUCCAGUCCGAAAACCCCUCAUACCACAGAAUAGCGCCCUUGCCUCGUGUUCUUCCCGGGUGUUCAGGAUUUCCCAGGGCACGCGUAAGCUCGUCGUUCUCUCUGUUGGGCUGGAACACCCCCGAUCGAGCCUCUUCUAUUGCAACAAGUAUCUUAUCUUCGGCUCCGUUCAGACAUGCCUUCUUCAAAACUUUGCCUGUCUUCGGGUCUAACUCCCCCCAUGCGCAUAGAACCAAGUCCUGCACCUGGGGGGCGAGCUCCUAGUAACCGGAGUGACACCUGCAUCCUCCAUCUCUUUCUCAAACUUAUCCCACUUAGGCAUUGCCACCGCGUAGCCACCUAGCCCCAACUUAUGGAACUUAUCCUUUUUUCGGCAUUUUCUUGUUUAUUCUCGACCGUUCCUUAGCUAAUUCCGAAUCCUUGAAUUUCACGAAAUCGUCCCAAUGAGCACUUUGCUUCUCUAGUGUUCCCUCGAAUACUGGAGUCUUCCUUCCUCCCUUGACGUACUUGUCCCAUACACGAUUCUUGUGGUUGUUGAAUGCAACCGCCAUCUUCCUAAGAGCAGCGUUCUUGACUUUCUCCACAUCUGCAUCUGUGAAAUGAUCUGGUAGGGUGAAAUGUUCCAUGAGAGUUUCCCAAAGCAGACCUUUUUGUCUGUCGUCGACAAAAGUAACAUCUGGACGUGGCUUUGCUGGCUCUCUCCAUGCUUUAAGGAAGAUCGGGAGUUGGUCCUUCACAAGAACUCCGCACUGACGAAUGAACUUGUCCGCAAUCUUCUUAGGCGCUAAUGGUUCGCCAUUAGGUUUGAUGGCCUCGAUAUUGUACUUUACGCCCUCCUUCAACUUUUUGUUCGGGCCUCGUUUCCAGUUGCCUGAAGAUUUGCUCGAUCCGGAUGGCUGAAAGAAGAAAGAUCAAUUCGUUAAUAUAUCUUCAAGUCAUUUAAAACAUGUGAUGAUCACAAGAUGCAUGCUUAUAUAAAUAUAUAUACCUCGCCGGUCUUUGUUAUUUCAAGACCAACAUUUUCUUCGUCAACAUCAUAAUCAUAGUUCAUGAUUUCAUCAAUUCGGUCGUCGCGAUCGAAUAUCAUAUCACCCUCCCCGGUGUUGUUUAGAAAUUCGGAGCCGUCAUAAUCUUCUUCAUUCUGAUCAUCAUCUGGCCCGUGAGGAUGGUGUAUGAUAUCGAACAGGGUCUCUUCUCCCUCUCUGCCGGUAUUGUCCGCCAUAGCUUUUAUUUAACUAAUCCAAAAGAAAUAUAAAACAAUUUAGUAUUCAAAUUACAAUGCAUGGAUGCAAUCAAUUAAUAAGGAAAAACUAAAUCAAUCAUAGUACAUAAUAAGCAUAAUCGAAUAUAAUCUCGAAUACAUCGUCUCGAAUAAUAGAUAUAAUCUCGAAUACAUCGUCUCGAAUAAUAUAUAUAAUCUCGAAUAAAUCAUCUCGAAUAUUAUAUAUCGAAUACAUCACUAGCUAGCCAGCUAGCUAUCUAGCAGCUAAUAAAGAUCGAAUACUAAAGAGUAAUCUAGGCCACUCGUGGUUCCUGAGGCACGGGCGGUGGAUAACCAAAGUGAAGGAACCAUCACUGGAUCAUAGCUCGGGUGAUCUCCCCAAAGAACCUGCCAGGUAUUAGAGAACCCGACGUCCAUAGCAGCCAUGUAGAGAUGGACGUGCUCGUCCUCCUCCCUGACACGGCGACGUACCACCUCCGGCGGGGCCGGCUCCCUCCGCACCGAAAGUGGCCCAGCGAACGCCACCAAAGGAGAUGAGGGUCGACGACGGGACCCGGGGCCGGGUUCAAGCGUCGCGCCCCUGAAGGUAGCACCUCCCAGUGCCAGCCCGGCGGAGCCCAGUCCCGGACAUGGGUCCUCUGAAGCAGGACGUCAUCGCGAAUGGGUCGACGGCGAGGAUGCGGGCCGGGCAUCGUCGACAACAAAUACUAUAUGCCGCAAAAGUAAAGUAACAUUUUUUAAAUGAUGGAUUGUGAUUUCAUAUAUGCAAAUUCUAAAUUUUAUAACUAAAACUAACAUUUCUAAUAUUUCUAUAACUAAAAUUAACAUUUCUAAUAUUUCUAUAACGAAAAAACAUUUCUAUAUAACUAACAUUUCUAAUAUAACUAACAUUUCUAAUAUUUCUAUAUAAAUAACAUUUCUAUAUAACUAACAUUUCUAUAACUAAAACUAACAUUUCUAAUAAUUCUAUAACUAAAAAACAGAAAGAUUGCUAACAAUUCUAUAACAAUAUGUGUGUGUGUGUGUGGUUGGCGGCCGGGGCAGGAGCUCACCGGUGAGGCGUGACGACGGGGGGCGGCGACGGGGACGGGGACGGAGACGGAGAUGGCGACGGGGACAGGGUGGCGACGNNNNNNNNNNNNNNNNNNNNNNNNNNNNNNNNNNNNNNNNNNNNNNNNNNNNNNNNNNNNNNNNNNNNNNNNNNNNNNNNNNNNNNNNNNNNNNNNNNNNNNNNNNNNNNNNNNNNNNNNNNNNNNNNNNNNNNNNNNNNNNNNNNNNNNNNNNNNNNNNNNNNNNNNNNNNNNNNNNNNNNNNNNNNNNNNNNNNNNNNNNNNNNNNNNNNNNNNNNNNNNNNNNNNNNNNNNNNNNNNNNNNNNNNNNNNNNNNNNNNNNNNNNNNNNNNNNNNNNNNNNNNNNNNNNNNNNNNNNNNNNNNNNNNNNNNNNNNNNNNNNNNNNNNNNNNNNNNNNNNNNNNNNNNNNNNNNNNNNNNNNNNNNNNNNNNNNNNNNNNNNGGACGGCGACGGGGGCGGCGACGAGGGGCGGCGGCAACGGGGCAGAGGAGAAAGAAGCAGAGGGAGAGAUGAGAAACUGACAAUUUUUUUGAAGUGUUUUCUUAUAUAGAACCCACCUUUAGUACCGGUUGGAGCCACCGACCGGUACUAAAGGUCUAUUUUGGCCAGGCGAAGCGGCGGGAACCGCACCCCCUUUAGUACCGGGUUGUGGCACCAACCGGUACUAAAGCCCCUCCUUUAGUACCGGUUGGAGCCACGACCUGGUACUAAAGGGUGUGCGCUGCCAGGCGAGGGGCGCAGAAGUUUAGUCCCACCUCGCUAGCCGAGGGGCACUCGCACCUGCUUAUAAGCCCCGCCGUCGCUGCUGUCUCGAGCUCCUCUCUUAAGCAGGCCUUCUGGGCCUACCUCUGCUGCGAUGCCCUAUUGGGCCUACUGGGCUAGCGGGCCUGCAUCUUGGCCCAACUAGAAUUUGGAUUUCUAGUCGUAUGCAGGCUGUUGUGGCCCAGUAGGUGGGCUUUUUUCUUCUUAUUAUUUUUUGCUUUAUUUAUUUUUGUUUUAUUUAUUUUUGAGUUGUUUUUUGCUAUAUUUAGAGUUUCUUUGUGAAUAUUUUUGCUUUAGGUACAAAAAAUUACAAACUUUCUGUUAGUAGCGGUAGUUUAUAAAUUUGAAUAGUUUAAAUUUUGAAUUAUUUGAAAUUUGUGUGAAUCACUAGUUUGUGAAUAACUUAACUUUGAAAAUAGAUUUUUUCAGUGAUUCUUUUUUCUUAUGUUUAAUAUUAGUGUGUUUUAUCAUUAUAUUCAAUUUGGUAAUGCUUAGGUUAUUUAAAAAAUGAAAUGCCUUUGUAACGGAUGAGUUUUUGUCCGAAACCCUGAUACUUCGAAAGAGAUUGUCCAUUUUGUACACGAAGUGCAUCCAGUUUUUGCGGUAACCCUCUCUACUUUUUUGCACAUGCUAUGUGGGUGAAAUUAUGAUAUCAUGCCAACUUUCAACCUUUUCUGAGUUUAUUUGAAAUGCUUUUUAAUUUCAGGGUCAUUUAGCUGAAAAAAUCAGUUAAUGCAUGAAAGAAUUUGCUUGCACAUAAAAUUUCUUCGCGUUUCAAAUGCCAAAACACAUAACUAGCUACCCUAACUAUUACAGAGGUUCCCUCCUGGGUGUGAAACACAGAAGAAAGUGAUGAUAGUGAAGCCAAUCACAUCCCAGAUCUUUGGGUGUGAAACUUUUUCUUCGCGUGUGUCCCUUUGCGCCGUAGCCAUGGAAAAUCUUCAUCAUUUAACUGGAUGCUCAGGUCAAUAUUCACUGUGAAUGGAGCAAUUUCAUCAAACUUUUCAUAAUCUCCUGACAUGCCAGUCUUGUCAUCCACUCCCACGAUGUUUCUCUUCCCAGAAAGAACUAUGUGCCGCUUUGGCUCAUCGUACGAUGCAUUCGCUUCCUUAUCUUUUCUUUUUCUAGGCUUGGUAGACAUGUCCUUCACGUAGAAAACCUGUGCCACAUCAUUGGCUAGGACGAAUGGUUCGUCUGCAUACGCAAGAUUGUUGAGAUCCACUGUUGUCAUUCCGUACUGCGGGUCUUCCGUUACCCCGUCUCGUGUCAUAUUGACCCAUUUGCACCGAAACAAAGGGACAUUCAAACCACGUCGAUAGUCAAGUUCCCAUAUGUCCUGUAUAUAACCAUAAUAUGUUCCCUUCCCCAUCUUGGUUUCUGCAUCAAAGCGGACACCACUGUUUUUGGUUGGUGCUCUUCUUAUCUUGGGCGAUCGUGUAAAAUGUAUUGUCAUUUAUCUCGUACCCUUUGAAAGUCAUUAUAUUCGAAGAUGGUAACUGGGACAGCAAGUACAGGUCAUCUUCAAUAGAGGCGUCAUGCAUGGUACGUGUCUGCAACCAGCUAGCGAAACUCCUGGUUUGUUCACGUGUAAUCUAGUGAUCAGACAACUCCGGGUGUUUGGAGCGUAGAAAAUUCUUGUGUUCAUCCAUAUACAGAGCCACCAAGGCGGAAUUCUGUAAAACUGUGUAGUGUGCUUCAGUGAGAGAAUGUCCGUCCAUACAUAUUAUUUGUUCCCCUCCUAGCGUGCCUUUUCCAUCCAGUCUGCCCUUAUGCCGUGAUUCAGCAACACCAAUCGGCUUAAGGUCAGGAAUAAAGUCAAUACAAAACUCAAUGACCUCCUCAUUUUCAUGGCCCUUGGAGAUGCUUCCUUCUGGCCUAGCACAGUUAUGAACAUAUUUUUUUAAGACUCCCAUGAACCUCUCAAAGGGGAACAUAUUGUGUAGAAAUACAGGACCCAAAACGUUAAUCUCUUCCAUAGGUGAACUAGAACAUGCGUCAUGAUGUUGAAGAAGGAUGGUGGGAACACCAACUCGAAACUGACAAGACAUUGCACCAAAUCAUUCUCUAACCUUGCUAUGAUUUCUGGAUCAAUUACCUUCUGAGAGAUUGCAUAGAGGAAUGCACAUAGCUUCACAAUGGCUAAUCGAACGUUUUCCGGUAGAAGCCCCCUCAAUGCAACCGGAAGCAGUUGCGUCAUAAUCACGUGGCAGUCAUGAGACUUUAGGUUCUGGAACUUUUUCUCUGCCAUGUUUAUUAUUCCCUUUAUAUUCGACGAGAAGCCAAACGGUACCUUAAUAUUGAGCAGGCAUUCAAAGAAGAUUUCCUUCUCUUCUUUGGUAAGAGCGUAGCUUGCAUGACCCUGAUGUAUGCCGUCUUUUCCGUGCAUACGUUGCUAGUCCUCCCAUGCCUCAGGUGUAUCUUUUGUCUUCCCAUACACGCCCAAGAAGCCAAGCAGGGUCACACAAAGAUUCUUCGUCACGUGCAUCACGUCGAUUGCGGAGCAGACCUCUAGGUCUUUCCAAUAGGGCAGGUCCCAAAAUAUAGAUUUCUUGUUCCACAUGGGUGCACGUCCGUCAGCGUCAUUCGGAACAGGUUGUCCACCAGGACCCUUUCCAAAGACCACCUUCAAAUCCUUGACCAUAUCAUGUACAUCAGCACCAGUAUGGUGGCGAGGCUUCGUCCGGUGAUCCGCCUCACCUUUGAAAUUCUUGCCUUUCUUUCUUACGGGAUGCCUGCUCGGAAGAAAUCGACGAUGUCCCAGGUACACAUUCUUCUUACAAUUAGCCAAAUAUAUACUGUCGGUAUCGUCCAAAUAGUGCGUGCAUGCGCGGUAUCCCUUGUUUGUCUGUCCUAAAAGGUUACUGAGAGCAGGGCAAUCAUUGAUGGUCACAAACAGCAACACCUUUAGGUCAAAUUCUUCCCCCAUGUGCUCAUCCCACGCACGUACACCUGUUCCAUUCCACAGUUGUAAGAGUUUUUCAACUAAUGGCCUUAGGUACACAUCAAUGUCGUUGCCGGGUUGCUUAGGGCCUUGGAUGAGCACUGCAUCAUAAUGAACUUCCACUUCAUGCACAACCAAGGAGGAAGGUUAUACAAACAUAGAGUCACAGGCCAGGUGCUAUGGUUGCUGCUCUGCUCCCCAAAAGGAUUAAUGCCAUCUGCGCUUAGACCAAACCAUACGUUCCUUGCGUCAUCUACAAACUCCUUCCCGUACUUUCUUUCGAUUUUUCUCCACUGCGACCCGUCAGCGGGUACUCUCAACUUUCUGUCUUUCUUAGGGUCUUCUCUGUGCCAUCGCAUCGCCUUGGCAUGCUCUUUGUUUUGGAACAAACGUUUCAACCGUGGUAUUAUAGGAGCAUACCACAUCACCUUGGCAGGAAUCUUCUUCCUAGGGCGCUCGCCCUCGACAUCACCAGGGUCAUCGCGGCUGAUCUUAUAGCGCAAUGCACCGCAUACUGGGCAAGCGUUCAAAUCCUCGUACUCACCGCGGUAGAGGAUACAAUCAUUAGGGCAUGCAUGUAUCUUCUGCACCUCAAACCCUAGAGGGCAGACAACCUUCUUUGCUUCGUACGUACUCUCGGGCAAUUCGUUGUCCUUUGGAAGCAUAUUUUUUAUCAUUACCAGCAACUUUCCAAAUCCCUUAUCAGAUACACCAUUCUCUGCCUUCCAUUGUAGCAAUUCCAGUGUGGUGCCCAGCUUUUUCUUGUCACCUACGCAAUUCGGGUACAACAAUUUUUUGUGACCCUCUAACAUGCACUGCAACUUCUUCUUCUCCAAAUCACUUGUGGAGUUUCUCUUUGCAUCGGCAAUGGCCCGACCUAGAUCAUCAACCGGCUCAUCGGAUGCCUCUUCUUCAGCUUCUUCCCGCAUUAUUGGCUCAGCUUCUUCCCUCAUUGUUGUAUCAUCAUAUUCAGGGAACCCAUGGCGAGGAUAGCUGUCGUCGUCCUCUUCUUCUUCAUUGUCUUCCAUCAUAACCCCUCUUUCUCCAUGCUUGGUCCAAACAUUAUAAUGGGGCAUGAAACCGGACUCAAACAGGUGGACGUGAAUGGUUCUUGACGUAGAGUAAUUGUGACCAUUCUUACAGCCAGCACAUGGACAAGGCAUAAAACCAUCCGCCCGCUUGUUUGCCUCAGCCGCAAGCAGAAAAGUACGCACGCCAUUAAUGAACUUGGGAGAGCAUCGGUCAUCGUACAUCCAUUGCCAGCUCAUCUUCAAUACACAGCACCAAAAACACCAAAUUAAUACAAUACAUAAAGUUCAUACAUAAAGAUCAUACAACACUUAAAUGCAACAAACAAAUAACUCUCUAGCUAAAGAAUUUAAAUGCAACAAUAAAUGCGAUCAAGAUCGCAACUAAGGUAACCAUUGAUCCAACAGCAUAAUGAUACCAAGCCUCACUAUGAAUGGCAUAUUUUCUAAUCUUUCUAAUCUUCAAGCACAUUUUCCCCAUCUUAAUCUUGUGAUUAUCGAUGACAUCGGCAACAUGCAACUCCAAUUCCAUCUUCUCCCCCUCAAUUAUUUUCAAUUUUCCUUCAAAUCCUCGUUUUCUCUUUUAACUAAAUUUAACCUCUCGACAAUAGGGUCGGUUGGAAUUUCCGGUUCAACUACCUCCUACAUACAAAUAUCUAUGUCAACUUGAUGGGCAUAAUUUGUCAUAAACACGAAAUGCAAUGAACAGUUUUAAAAGAGAAUAUACCACAUCCGAAUCAUAACCCGGACGAGGGCCGACAGGGACGGAUAUCAAAACCAUGGCACUAUGUAUAACAAACAACGUAUGAGUAAGAUAAUUAUAGGAGUAACUAUAUAUCCAAAUCACACAAACAUUGAUUUUUUAUAUAAAACUUCAUGAACAAGAGGCUCACCAUAAGGUGGUGCCGGCGACGGGAAGUUGCGAGCGAUCGACGGUGGUUACGACAGAGAUUUAGAAGGUACUAAGUAAACCACACCUACAUAUGCGAACUAAGUGUUAUUUUUGACCUCAAAUUGCAUAUAAAUCAAAUACUAACACAUAUAUAUAAUUCCUCCCAAAUUACUAAACUCAAAAAUCAAUCACUAUAUAAAGCAUUGCACGAGCUAAUCUAGCAAUGAGAGAUGAAAGGACAAAGUUGCUAACCUUUGUGAUCAUUUGAAUGGAUGGGGGCCUUCAAAUCUUGACAAAUUUUGGGCAAAAUGUGUGAUGAGCUUGAGAGGAAGAGGGAAAAGAACAGAGAGGAGAGGGGAAAGGGGAAGAACAGAGCGAGCUCGGGUGGACGAAGGGUCUAUGUAGGACGACCUUUAGUACCGGUUCGUGAUAUGACCCGGUACUAAAGGUGCUGGAGGGGCCCCGGACUGACAACAUCCUGCCACCACUCACUUUAGUACUGGUUCGUGGCACGAACCGGUGCUAAAGGUUCGCCACGAACCAGUACUAAUGAGAGCGGCCGGCUAGCCAUUGGAACCGGCACUAAUGCACACAUUAGUGCCGGCUCAAAUUCAAACCGGCACUAAUGUGCUUCACAUUUGACCCUUUUUCUACUAGUGUCAUGUUAAAUUUGUCGUUCGUAACAGCAAGUUCACUCGCUUUUGGCUUGUCUGGUGGUGCGGUGCUUCUCCCCUAGUUGUUUUCUUUCCGGUCCUAUUGCCCGGAUCUGGAGAUCUCAUCUCCGAGCUCUCCGGUAAUAACUUGGACCUGGCCCUCCGGCGUUCUCUAUCUCAUGAAGAGUUGGAUGAUUGGCAGCGUCUUGUUGCUUGUAUUCCCAUGCUCUCGGAGGGGGAGCAUUCGGUGGUUUAGCCCCACUUUGCCUCCGGGUGUUUCUCUGUUAAAUCUUUAUAUGCUAAGCUUGUCUCUGGGACCCCUACUACUAAGUUUAAGCUGAUUUGGCGGGCCCGGAUUCCUCUCGAGGUCAAUAUCUUUUUGUGGCAAGCCUACAGAGGGCGGUUGCCUAGGGCUGAUCAAAUUCGUAAACGUAAUGGACCUGGGUCCGACUGUUGUGCAUCAUUUGGUGAGCUGGAGGACACAAAUCACAUCUUCAUUAACUGUGUUCUGGCAAAGCUUGUCUGGUGCUGUAUUAGGUCCUGGAUCCACGUGUCUUCGAGCCCAUCUUCCUUCUCUGAUCUUAGGAAUCUCGCCUCUGGCCUGGUUGGGGUUUCCAAACGAAUGUUCUGGGGGCGCUUCACGGCAAUUUGCUAGACGUUGUGGAAUACUAGGAACAAUUUCACUAUUGAGCAUAGUUUUCCUAUUAACCCUACUGAUUGCUUACUUAAAUCUUGCCUAUUCUUGCAGCAGUGGAGAUUAUUGACUAAGUAGGCCGACCACGAUGCUUUUGACAUGAUGACUUCCAAGGUUCGGCUACAGCUACCUCCCUUUCGUAGCAUCAGACAGGCUGCUACAGGAACUUGGUAGUCCCUUUUGUCGUGCUCUUUCAUCUAGUCCCUCAGCCUGUGUGCCGUCUUGUUGGCCUGGGAGCCAUGUACUUCCUGUUUUCUCUAAACUCUUUGUGUUGUCGCUACUCUAAUGUGAUGGGUACUGUCCAGUGGUGUACGCUGCCUGGUGGCUUUAUUUAUAAAGUCGGGCUGAUGCCUUUCCUCUAAAAAUAAGAUAAAGAAGAAAAAGUCACCCAUUCCUGAAAUUCCAGGCCUUCCGCCACUGCAGGUAAAUCAAAAUGCCUAGGUCUGAGCAAUUAUUAUCCUGUUAUCAAAGAAGGUUCCAUAAAUAUGACGAUCACUUUACUCUAAGCUAAGAACAGAGUCGGCGGUAAAGGACAGCUCUUCUCACGAUUGUCUACAGCAGUGAAUGGGCUCAGGAGGUUAGUCUGAAGGGUGUGGGGGUGGGCACAUCUCUUCUCACGAUUGUCUACAGUGGUGAAUGGGUACCAUUGAUAUCAACUAUAAUCAGGCUUGCAAUGUUUUUUUUAGUACUGUUUAUUUUGUGGGGUUCCUUUUCUUUUUAGUACUGUUAGGUGCAGCAUUUUCAUUAUCUCUCUUUGUAAUGGUAUUAGAUGUAGGUGCAGAUUCUGCCCAAACAGAAAAUAUGUUAGGUGCAUUAUUUUCAUACCUGCACUAUAUUUUUGCACUCCCUCCGUUCCUAAAUAUAAGUCUUUUUAGAGAUACCAAUAUAAACUACAUACGAAGCAAAAUGAGUGAAUCUACACUCUAAGAUAAGUCUAUAUACAUCCGUAUGUAGUUCAUAUAGAAAUUUCUAAAAAGGCUUUGUAUUUAGGAACAGAGGGAGUAGCAUGUAACAUAGUAUGAUUACACUGGCCCAAAUGUUUAAGAUGCUAACUCUUGUCUGAUACGCUCAUCAUUUGUGGCCCUUUGUUUGAUACAUAAUGAAAUUGGUAAAAUCAAAUGCGCUGCUCCAUGUUUAUAAGCAAGAGUUUGCUGAAGUCAAGUAAAAUGUUUGCUGGGUAGAGGUAGUUGGGCAGGGAGUUUGGACCCAUUGAUUUCAACUGUAUCACGUCGUCUGUACCAGUUUGUAUUGGUGCAAUGUGCAAUAUUUUUCCUAUAUGCUGGAUUUUGGAGAUAACUAGCAUGUUAUGUUGAUUUGCUUAUGGUUAUGAAGUUAUUUUUUGCUUUUACUUUAUAAUAAGUUUCAUGCAUGGCGGUGUGUUGCCUCUUGGUUGAUACGUAACAAAUGUGAAAUGAACACACUGCAUGUGUACUGUUCUGUUUUGGCGGUGAUGUCAAAUGGAAGUGUAAUUUCCGCGUUGAACAGUCUCUCAAACGGUAGAGUAAGAUGAUUACUACUUAUUAACAAAAUAGAAACAAGUUAAAUUUAAGGGCGCGAGCUACUAAUGUAGCACAUCAUCUGAUACCGAUUGAAGAACAGUACUAAGGACAAAAUAGGAACCCUCUUUGUAGAAUCUCAUAACAGAAAGUGUGGAUUGCUUGUUUCCACUUCAGAUCAAUCUUAUAACCCUGUGAUGCUAGCUGGUUGCAUCGUUCAAGAUACUCCUGAGCUGCUCAAUGCUGUAUAUGAGCAGCAAGCAAGAACGCCAUUCCUCGUCCGGAUUAGUUCGGUACCCUGCGCAUCCCGAUUCCCUCUACCUCCCAUUCCCACACAUGCUCAAACAUGAUUCUACAUAAGUAACAGACAAUUGAACAUCUAGUAUAAGAAAGACUGGGUUGAUCAGCUGGAUCAGCUGGGAAGGUAGGCUAUCCAUUACUUUUAUAUCUUAUCGGCAGUAUGGUUUGUAAAAUGACCAUAAACCUAAACAUCCCAUAACGAUUCAGGAGUGUAAAGAAGCAUUUGUUCAAAAUGCCCAUUCAUUAGAGCAUUCGUAACUUAUUUUUUACAUAUGCAAAUUACAGGUAUCAAUUGCAUUUGAUCCUAACUCUGAAAUUUUUGAAAUGUUGUUCCAGGCACUCCUUGUCCCAGCUAUGACGAUAGCUCGUAAUGCUGGCGCAGAUGGUUCAACUGUCACAGAGAAGAUUCUUGAAAGCGAGUGGCGAGUUAGGUACAAUGUGAUGACCGACAAGUUCGAAGACCUUGUUGAUGCCGGUGUGGUCAAUCCAUGCCGGGUUGCAAGAUGUGUCCUCCAGAACUCUGCUUCUAUCGUAGGGCUAAUUCUAAUGACCCAAGUGAUGAUGUUUGAUAAGAUAAAGAAGAAAAAGUCGCCCAUUCAUGAAAUUCCAGGCCUCGCGCUGCUGCGGAUAAAUGAAAAUGCUUAGGUGUGACCAAUUCUUAUCCUAUUAUCAAUGAAGGUUCCCUAAAUGUGAAGAUCAUUUUGCUCUAAGAUAAGAACAGUGUAGGCCCAUGGAGGACAGCUCUUCUCAUGAUUAUCUACACUCUACAUCAGUGAAUGAGUUCAGGAGUUUAGUUUGAAGGGGGUGGGGUGGGUGGGUACCAUUGAUCUCAACUAUAAGUAGGCUUGCUCUGUUUUCUUUUUAGUACUGUUAGGUGCAGUAUUUUCAUUAUCUCUUUUCGCAGUCGUGUUUGACGUUAGGUGCAGAUUCUCCCCAAACAGAAAAUAUGUUAGGUGCAGUAUCUUCAUACCUGCACAAUAUUUUUGUAGCAUGUAACACAGUAUGAUUACACUGGCAGAAUUGCCAUGUUGAUUUCCCAAAUGUUUUAAAAGGUAACUCUUGUCUCUUACUUUUGAUAUGCAUAUCAUGCGUGGACCUUUGUUUGAUACGUAAUGAAAAUGGUUAAAGCAAAUGUGCUGCGCCGUGUUUAUAAGAAAGAGUUUGCCAAAGUCAAGUAAAAUGUUCGAUUGGCAGGGGAGUAGUGACCCAUUGAUUUCAACUGUAUCAUGUCGUAUGUACCAGGCACAUGAUAAAUGGCAGGUUAUGCAACAUUUUUGUAAUAAAUGUGCAAUAUUUUUCAUAUAUGCAGAAUUUUGUUACAGACACAGGAUAAAUGGCAUGUUAUGUUGAUUCUCUUAUGCUUAAAAAGCUACUUUUGCUUUUGCUUUCUAAUACGUAUCAUGGCAGUAUGCUGUCUCUUGGUUGAUACCAAACAAAUGUGAACAAAAAAAACAUUACAUGUGUACUAUUUUCCUUUUCGGCGUUGUUGUGAAAUGGUAGUGUAAUUUCUGCGUUGAACGCUCUCUUAGACGGUAGCAUAAGCUGAUUACUGCUUCCUUACAAAAUAAAUACAAACAAGUUAAAUUUAAUGGUAGAACACAAGAACACAAGAACCCCUCUUGUGGAAUCUCAUAACAGAAAGUGUGGAUUGCUUGUUCCUAUUUCCGCUCAAUAAGAUGUCGUUGUGAUGCUAGCUGGUUGCAUCAUUCAAGCUACUCUUGACCUGCUCGAUGCUGUAUCUCGGCAGCAAGCCAGGCUGCCAUUCCUCGCGUGGAUUAGUUUGUUGCCUCGCGCAUCCCGAUUCCUCAACCUCCCAGUCCCACACGUGCUCAAACAUGAUGCUAUAGUAACAAACAAUUGAACAUCUAGUAUAAGAAAGACUGGGUUGAUCCUGUUGUGUAGUGAAGCCAAACAAUUAACCGCAUCAAGCUAAGCUGGAAUGCUAAUCCACACGAACAAGGGCGACAUGUGCUCAUAUCCAACUGUACGGGUCAACCUGACAAGAAAACAAAUGCUGAGUAGUACUGCAUACUAAUAGCUCUGUUAGAAAGUUGGUGAGCUAUGUUUCUAGAAACUGUAUCCAUGUUAGUCGCGAUAGUAGCCUUAAGUUUCAAACCAUAUAGAAAGUCGAGUUUUUUCAAAUGACACUUACAUUGGAUUCAUUACUAGACUGGGCCAUGAAAGCAGUAUCGCAACUGAAAAAAAAGAGUUGAAUCGUCUCAUCUUUGUCACGAAAUAACAUGUUUUGCUACACGAUCAUUUAAUGAGAUUUUCAUUUGUAAAAACUACUUCACUUCCUAGAUAGUGUACGCAAAUCUUGUACUUGAGUGAUGCUUUUAGUUUGCUAAGAUGUGUUUGUGCCGAAAGGUGAUCGAGUUCAAGAGAACUUGUUGGAUAAAAUUGUUCCCCAUUCCGAUGUUUCACUCAAGAUAACGUAUCAUGUGUAUUGUACUUAAAUACUGUUUGAGGGCAUAUAAUGUGUGUAUUACUAUUAACACCCAUACAAUAAAGGGAUUUUUUAUUUUGUCCUGACAGCAAAAACUACUGAAAUAGGAUUAAGAAAAUCACUUAUAAGCAAAAAAGUGAAUGUUCUUUGAAAAGUGUGCUAACACCCACAAGAUUUGUAAAACCGAAGAAAAUGAGGGCAAGUAAAAACACUUCCAUCCAAGAUAUGGAUGGAGACAUAAACACAUGUAUCCUCAAACCUGUUGGUAAAAAUUAAAAAUUACUUAGACACAAUUCAAGUGAAGAAGUUCACACCUGUGGAAAAUACCUAGUAUCUCAAAAUCUUUGCACCAUAUUUUCAGUUCCUGAAACUAGAGCUGAUCUUGUUAGAGUAUCUCUUCUAGCAGAUGACUCAAACAACUUUAAGGAGAAUUUUUUUUGUUUUAGAAAAUUAAGCAUCACCUACCAGACCCCCUAAAUAAUUAACGCACAUUUAUUUUGACUUUUAUCUUUCAAAACUUUGUCUCAUUCCCUUAAAUUUAGUCCAAUGGAGUGCUUUCUCAGCAAAAGUAGGAUGGCACUCGGCUCCAAUCCGCCUGUCGGCCGCUGCCCCGACGACCAAGAAAAUGGAACCCUGCACCACCGCGCACCUUCGGCAACCAAAGCCGACGCCGGAAUCCCAUUGGCCAUGAGGAAUCUCACGAAAUCCGGCACAACAGCUUCAGCUGGUUCCAUGGUCAAGGGAAUUAUAUUCACACUUGGAGCUAUAUGUGCAAGGGAAACAAAUACUCGAAGAAAAGCUGAAUGGUGUGGUGCAAGAAGUACUUAUUCAGUGCUAUAUUCCACAUGGAAGCAUCUGAGCAAGAGAAACAGGUACUCGAAGAAAAGCUGAAUGGUGUGGUGCAAGAAGUGUUGGAAAUUGAUCUUCUUAUUUCUGGUAGACCUCUAAGUAACAGUCCUCUUGAAAGGUUCUCAUACACUGAUAUGCUAUUACAUUUUGUGUCAAAUUAUUUACAUGGAAUGACUUCUAUAAAUUACUCAAUGUUUUGUAGGACUGAUGGUCCACUGUACGUAUUAUAAAGAAGCAUGAAGGAGCACUUUAAUCGCCGAUGAAGUUCAUUCGAACAAACAUAGUCUCCCUCAUUGAAGAUUGAUAAAUAUUGUCUUUUGUAGUUGUCUUGUUUUUCAGUUAGAUAUGAGCAAGUACAUUGGUCAUGUGAGGAGUGCUUAAGCUGUGCUUUUGACUCAAAUUUCUUAAAUGGUUGUCCGAAAAAACUUUUUAAAUGGUAUUUUAGUUCCAUAAUAGUAUGUUUAAUUUUUAUUAAUUUUCCUGACUUAUACUGAUAAAAGGGCUAUGAUCCUUUCAUUAUUCAUAUUCUUUUGCUUCUAAAUUAAUGUGUAUUUUUAUAUUCAAAUGUUGGAUGCUGUAUGUAUAAAGUGGUUGUUAACGAUUCUACAGGUGGUUGAACUGAAGUUAUAAAUAUAGUGGUCGCCAAAGGUUAAUCGAAUGGCAGCCUAGUGGCAAGGGAGCGCAGUGGCGUCUCCAGCAACCAGGGUUCGAGCCACGUCGGGGACGAAUUUCUGGUUUCUCACAAGGGAUGCUUUCUCCUAUAUCAAUAAACCAUGGGUGCUAGUGCCCAUGAGUUUCAUUUUUUUUUACUAAGUGGUCGCUAAUGAUGCUUCGGUCAACCAUGGAAAAAAAUAGCAAAGAAAAGAGUGGUCUUGAAUAGUAUAAUUAUGGUUGUUAUUGCCUCAAGAUUGACAACGACAAACCAUCCCGUCGUUACAAGAAUUACGGCAGGAAAAUGUAUGCAAUCAUUAUUACUUUAAACAAUGGAGUCUAUAAAAACGGCUAAGAACCAUCUGAUUGUGGUGGUCAUUUUUCUUCAGCGGCCACAAUCUAACUUUUAACAACUCCAUAUACCAUCUUUAAAAACGGUUUUUCCUGUAGUGGAUUGUGAUCCAGCCACGUCUGUUUGAAAACUAAACGUUUGUAGAGAAAAUACGCUGCCUUUCCACCAGUACGCAAGCACGUAUGGGACAGCCAGUUACUACAAGGUAGCCAGAUCGAUCUGUGUUGGCACAACAUGGCAAAACACGGAUUCAACACAACACAACACAACACGGAGUCACAGGACCAUGUCUCUCCCGUGUUAUUUUCCUUGCUUGAGCUAAAUUUGUUACCCACGGGUUACACGAGUGUAAAUAGCAGCUAUACUAGCUAACUACAAUUAGAAGUCAGUGAUUGAUUCUUGUCCAACCCAGACCUAGAGUUUGACUCGUGGUUAUUCUCAGCAAGUUGGCGAUGCAACAAAGGACAAAUGCAGUCAACGACGCAUUAAUUGCUGUACAACGUAGUAGUAACCCGCUGGUGCAUGAACCCUGUAGAGGCAUAUCUUCAGCCUUGGGAGCAGUGCAAAUAUGACUAUAUAUCUUGAAACUAACCAGGCUACCGUGAUAUAGCCGGAUACAUGGUAUACAUGUCUUCCUAGUGCCUCUCAAGCCUAGAUUGUUAGCUGCCAUUCUCCACCUGUGAUAUGCAAGCUGGCAAUGGCACCACGUUUGGUGCACUAUGCCCUAGUUAUGCAUACAAAAGGAACAACAUUGAGAGCAGGGAGGUGGCAAGACUUUGGAGGACAUUUCAUAAGAGAUGUUGGUGGCGAUGGACCUCUAUAUAUGCGAGGUUUCUCACUCCUCUUUUUUGUGUGUCUCGAAUUGUCCAUAAAUUCCUACGGACCCUACCGAAUAAAAGAAGUUGUGGUUUCGGCACACAACCACUAGUUGCUCUUUUGCCCAAAGGGUUUUAUGGAGAUGACAUAUAGCCAGCUAAAAAGUGUGAAGAAUGGUCGGAGGAAAAGCAACUAAUGGUGGCUACCAACAAUUAAUCUUCAGAACGUGUGGACUGCUUCUCAAGCUCAUCAUAUCUCUUCUUAUCUACGACUUAAAAGUCUGAACAAAUGCACUACUUUUUGGGUCAAAACCUAAGUAUUCAAGUUGACAUUGGAAGAGUAGUCAUAAUCAAAAUCAUGGUUGAUACACGACACAUGAGGCCACACUCUUCGUUUGUGCAUGACAUGGCAAAAUGGGAGUAACUUGAUGCCAAUAUCUAUCUAGUGUAAAGAAAUGGCACUAUCAAUGUAACCAUGCAUAGACAAAAGGCAUGCGGGUAACCUUGGUGUUUGCUCCUGACAAGGCGGCUGUUGACGUGCAGUCAAACAAAAGGAAACGGAAAAGGCAUGUGUGUGUAUUUUCUCUUGCUCAUGGAACAGGUGUGAAUUGUUCAUCCAUUCAUUGUUAAAAUGUCCGAAUAGGCUGAGCUUAAACAUAAAAUUUUCUUCUGGAUGGUGGCACACUCAAGGGUUAAUACCAGAGCUAUGUUGAAAAGAAAAGGAAUGCAACUAGAUGAUCCCUACCACCCAAAUUGUAAUGAAAAUGCUGAAGAAACACUUGUGCACUUACUCUGGGAUUGUUACAUCGGACUGUUGGAAAACUUUGAUCCCUAGGAAAAAACAAGCUUCUCUGUUUAUGAAGACACUCAGUUUUCGAUAGAAGAACUGCCUAAGCCUUUUGCUUUGGAGAUAACUAUGCUAGGAUGAUGGAAUAUAUGGUUCAAAGAAAUGGCAAAGUAUUCAGAGCCACUCAACCACUAAUUCGAAAUAAAGGAGAAGUAUCCAGCACAAUUUGCUCAUUGGAUAAAUAAUAACCUCUGAAUUAUGGAUGUCAUACCUAGAGCAGGACUUGGUUAAUUGGAGAUCAAUGUCUUUUUCUUUUGGUUCUUCCCCCUUGUAACAUACUGCUAUAUUAAUGAAAAUUUCCCAUAGAACUAUUGUUCUAGGUUUGCGGCUAAAAAAGAGAGUCCAAAUAGGCUAUUACCGUGGGCACAGAACUCCCAGUUAAUCCAAGCGUAAGCCCUAAAAUUAAAGAUCAAAUCUCCUAAGUGCCUGGAUACACACCUUCUUAGCAUGGUCAUCAAGGACCUGGUUACAUCUCGUUUAGAUCAUCUAGAGCUUCCUUAUAUUGUAUUUUCUCUGAUAUGGCCAUAACAAUGACACCGGGCACAAGUUAGGCUAUGGCGGUCCAUUGUCUUGUUGACCGCCUCGUUACCUAUUACGACCGCCCAAACACCGUGCACACACAUGGGAUCUUCAUCUCCGCAGCCCAUACACCUUAAUUAUCAUCAUCAAGCAUGGGGUAGUACUUCCUUCAAUUCCGACAUGACCCUCUUCUUCAAUUUCCUUCCAUAUGUAAAGCAACAUAACGAUGAUAAAGAAUGACCCAACUCCAUUGUCGGAGAUCAAUGGUGAAGAAGAUACGAGUUGUUAACUUUUCCAUGGAUCGAACACACGGCCAAGAGGCACAACUCAAUAUGCUGUAUGCAACUAGCCUCCAUGUGUGUACGAACUAGCUGCAACUUUCAAAAUUUUGCCGGCGCUCACACAAGCACCAAUAUUGCAACUCAAAAAAAGUUGAAUCGUCUCAUCUUUGUCACGAAAUAACAAGUUUUGCUACAUGGUCGUUUAGGGAGGUUGUAUUUUUUUUAUAAAAACUACUCCACUUCCAAGAUAAUAUAAGGAAAUCUUGUUCUACAAUGACACUAUUAGUUUGCUAAGAUUUUUAUGCCGAAAGGUGGUCCAGUUCAAUAGGACAUCUUGGACAAAACUGUUCCCCAUUCUGAUGUUUCUCUCAAGAUAAUUAUCAUGUGUAUUACUUAAAAAUUGUUCGAGGAAACAAAAUGGUACGUAUUAACACCAAUAUAAUAAUCAAUAAAAAGGAAUUUUGUCAUGACACCAAAAACUAUUUUUUUACAAGAAAAACUAUUAAAAUGACAUCUGAAGGUAAAAAAAAAUCUGUUAUAGGCAAACAAAUGUUGAUGUUCUUUGUAAAGUGUGCUGACACCCAUAAGAUUGGUGAACUAAGAAAAUGAUGGCAAGUAGAAAAUACAUCCAUCUGAGAUAUGGCUGAAGACAUAAAAAUAUGCAUCCUCUCCCCUAUUGGUGAAAACUAAAAAAAAGUGCUAAAAAUUAUUGAAACGUAAUCCCGGUGAAGGAAUUCACACAUGUGGAAAAUAUCUAGUAUCUCAAAAUGUAUGCACCAUGUUUUCAGUUCGUGGAACUUAAGCUGAUCUUGUUAGAGCAUCUCUAGAAGAUGCCUUAAAAGUUAAAUUUGAGGACAUAAUUUUUAGGCAAUUAAAGCCCUGUUCGGAAAGCCUCCACUCCACAACUCCACUCCCGGAGUUGGUGGAGUUGUAGUUGAAAACUGUGGAGCAGCUAUUUCUUGACUCCACAACUUCUAGAAUUUCGUGGAGCUGGUGGAAUUUCGAACAGGCCUUAAGUAUCAGCUAGCAGAUCCCCGAAAUCACCAAUGCAUAAAAAUGACUUUUGUCUCUCAAACCUUUGCCUCAUUCAAUUAAAUUUAGAGUGCAUUCUCUGCAAAGUAUGGAGACGCUCGGCUCCCAUCCACAUCAGAGCCGUCUUCCGUCUGCCGCCUCAGUGCACGACAUAAUGAACCCCAACCGCCCUUGCAACUCCAGCUACUCUCGCCGACAAUGUAAUCCCACCGGCGAUGAGAAAUUUCGUGAAAUCGGGUAACCGCCUGUUCAGUCGGUUCCAUGGUCAGCGGCACCACGCUCAUUCCGGCAGUCUGCCCAUGAGCUGCUCCUGCAGAAGCACACCGAAGAACGUCCACACAGAGGCCAGAGCUCCGACUGCUGCCUACGGCCACCGCGAGCGGCAGCGCUAUGACACUGUACUCGCUGAUGCAGGGCUCCAUGCUUGCCGUGAAAAAGGAUGUUGGAUAGACCGGAGGAAUGACAAUCUGACUCGAGCACGACGGCCCUUCGAUGUCGAUGCGGCUCUCCGAGGCAAAGUUCUUUAUCAGGCCGAGCUCCACGAUACAUUAUAUCUGGAUGAUCGGUUUGCCUCGUGAUAUGUGCACUUCGUAGCAACACGAGCCCUGCUUGUUAUCUAAAUGACAUUAUGAGGAGUUGUCAUGUCUAUGUAAACACUAGUACAAAGUAGGUAUAGGUUCUUCGAAAUUGCAUAGGAGCACUGGAUGACUCCCCACCCUGAAAUCUGUUCCAUAAAUUCUUCUCGGGAUCCACAAUCACUAUAUUAGCUGUUUUGUAUUCACCCAUUCUUUCUCACGUAUUCAGCAUGCCGUGCUGCGUAUGUCCGUACUAAAGCUGACGCGUUUUUGUCCUGAUGGCAGAAACUUCUGUCCAAAGUGUUGGAGCCGGCCUCAUGCACCAUCUCCCCAACCACCAUCUGCCCAACUACCAACCUCUGAAAUGCACCCGCACUGGCAACGGCUCUCAGGCAAUUCACACGCAACAGUCAUCUUCCUCCCUGGUCAUGCUCAUAUUUAAGUUCAUCUUCCUCACAUCUCCCAUAUCCAUUCGUUUCAUUCAUCUCAUACAUAGAUGGUUCUGAUAACCAUGUCAAGCUCUUCGUCCUGCCUUCUUCCACUCGAUGAGGAGCCUCCCCUCCCCCUCAUGGUAUGCCCGUUUUGCAACAACAGGAUGGUUUAGUGGUGGGUUUCUCGCACCAAAAUCAAGCCAGGGAAGCACUUUUACUGCUGCGAACACGAGUGUCUAUGUCCAAAUCUGUUUCCCUUGUUUUCAGUGUAUAUCAUAUGAUUUCCUUCCUCAUUCGUCUAGUUUUUUGCUGUUUUGUUUAGUUAAAUGCAACUUCUGCAAAUGGGAGGACAACUACAUCAAUGUCAUACGCGCCAAGUGGCCAAGGCUCUUCACUGUCCCAUCUCGCGAAGACCGCAAGUUCCACCGCUGCAUCAUCUCUCUUCUGUUACUCAUUCAGUUUCCAGUGAUGUUCAUCUGCUGCAAGGUCGCUUGAAACUGCCCAAGCAUGUCGUAGUUAUCUAGGUUCCUCCUUCGUCUUGCAGAUAAUCUAUCGACUAAUCAUUUAGUCAUAAUUUCAAUUCGAUCAUGUCCUUUGUUUCUUCGUUAAAGCAGUGUCUGCCCCCGUGAGAUGGACUUCCAAUUACCAUGUAAUAUUUUUUUAAUAUUUUAUGUACCAAAUCGACUCGUUUGCAAUAUUAAUAUCAUUUCCACUUUAUCAAAAUUUUAUGUAAUUUUUUUUCCACAAGUUUGCCUGACUCUGUUGCCCAUGCUACACUUCCCUCGAAUUAUUAAUUACAAAUGGACUGUACUCAUAUUUUCCGACGAAGUUGUUCCAUUUUUUUUUUCGACUGAAGUUGUUUCACAAUUUGGCUUUCCUUAAAGGUCAACUUAAAGUUCCGUCCUUCCUGUUUACACGAAUAACUUACUACCGACGUAACAAACUUUAUCACACAGCCUUAAUUAUCUCCGUUCGUCCUGUGCACAACAUGCAUGCAUCCAGAUCGAAGCUCAUAACCACCAUGCAAAAACUAAAUGCCUGCAGAAAUUACAAGCAAAUUCAAUGUAGCAUGUCCCACCACGGCGACCAGCUAGCAGUCCACCACUUUACCACACAACAACCACACAGGCUUCCUAUCUUGCCUUAUAAACACCCCAUUCACUCUCCACCUAGAACAAACACCCAUAUCACCACUCCCAUCUCAACUCUCCAACUCCAGAGCACUAAUUCUGUCUGCGCUUGCAGCUCGCUCAUCUGGCAUCUCACCGUGCCUAUGACUGUAAAUCUAAUAACUACAUUACACUUGUGCUAAUUUUAGGAAAUAGAAAAAUACACAUGGUCUAAAUAAUAUUCAUAACAGAGCUGUUUCAGAACAAAUACUUAUACUAAGAACAAACCAGAGCCUUCUAUUAAGCAAAAUUAUACCAAAUCCUAGAUCCCUAACUAUUUAUUAGGAAAUCAAGCUGUCAUAUUAUACACAGAAAGUAUAUAAUUGGUCAUAACAAAGAAUUACUAACUGUCUGACCCAGCCGCUGUUCUCCCUUUCGACCUCUAUAAGAUUGGGUGUUCUUGAUUUCGAUGUAAGUUCUCCAUCUAGUAUAGUUCGAAUGUGAUGCUCCGUGCUUGCAUUAGAUGAAUCGACCUCGUUCGCUUCCGCUACUGUAGAUAGAGCGUGCAUUUCCGUGACCACCAUCUGUGCUAACUGCUAAGCCAGCUGCGCACUCGUCUGCUAUCUGAUCUUCCACGUAACUGAAAAGCAGUUUAAAGAAUUUUUGGGGUGAACAGGUUGUGCGGUAAGAAAAUGAAUGAUUUUCUUUAAAAACAGGAUAGUUUAGCUUCCAUGGAAGCCGUUUCCCGGAUCUAGCUGCGGAUCUGGCGACGGAAUCAUCUCUGUUCUCCAAGGUUCACCACUGCUCGAACUUGUAUGCAAAUAUGAUUUCUUGGCUGAUCAAACACACGGGAUAGUAGACUGGGGUGGAAGAAGAACAGUAGUCUAGGGCGAGAGCUUUCUUCCCUCUCCUCAGAUCUAGCAAUGGAGUCUUCCUGGGGUCGGGCGUAACUAGUGGAGGUAUGUGCAGGAGUCAGGGUGGACGCAGCGAGCGGGCUUUUUGGCCCGCUCGUGGCCCGCACAGGACUGGACCGAACGGUCCGGCCUCGCUGGCAAACUUGGUCGGUCCAGAUUGGAAAAGUAGGCCCACUCAGCACCUCGGCCCGGUCCGCAUUUUAACCGAGCCGCUCGGUCCGACCGAGAACUGCCGCCGGCGACGUGGGCGCUGCGUCGAGGUGAGCAUCCUGGCUCUCUUUAAACAGUCGAGCCUCGUUUGCCUGUUCGAUCUCUGCAUCACUGCAUGCACGGCGGCUACACAUACAUGGUGUUCUAGUUCGCCGAGAACAGCCCGUUCAACGAGUGGCUCCACGUCCAUGGAGGCGAGGUGAUGGGAUGGAUGACCCAGCACGUAGUCGGCAUCUGCACAGGCACGCACGGCGAGCGGCGGCACACACGCACGCACGCCGUAUGUCGUUCCCGCGGUGACCGCGGUGUCAGUUAAAAGUUGUUGUCAAACCGUAAUCGUAAUUGUAUUGUUAAAAGUUCAGCUUCGUCAGUUAGAAUUUUCUUCAGUUUGUGACUUGGUCAGUUGGUCUUAGGUUGUUAGCGCAGCCCGUUGCUUUAAUCGGAUCGUAGGAUGGCACGAUACUAAAACGAUCCUAGCGACGAUGCAGGGUAGCGGGCAAGGAACGCUGGGAUGGCAGAAACAGCAAGGCCUGCACACAGAAAAUUGUGGGUGUUUUCCUUUCCUUUUAUUCCGUCAAACAAAUAACAGAAACCACAAAAGAAACGAGGUUCGAUCCGUUAAUUAAGGCGUCAUCCCACGACUAUCUCCACGUCAAAAUUGAUCCACUAAUCACGGCAAGGCCACCACACACGAAAUCAUGGGCUCAUGGACGCGCUAAAAUACUUGAAUGUAACGGAAAAUCUGCAGGAACAAACAUGAGCGGCUAACAGAUGCGCUCUGGCCGGCGCCACCGCGUCUCGUCGCUGCCAUGUGUGAACCGUCGCCGAUCUCGACCAUGCAGUUGUCUUCAUCGUGUCCAGGAGCUCGCCGGAGUCGUCUGUCACCGCUGCCGUGGUCACCACGUCGCCGGCGCCGCCGCCAUGGGCGAUCCUCUCGGUCCGGCCCAAGCUUUACCUCCGCCGGUCCGGUGCAGGAAAAGGGGACCGCCGGGCUGCUCGGUCCGGUCCGGUUCGGUCCGCCGCCGGCCGCUCGGUCAAGGACUGGACUGGCCCGGAACGUGUCCACCCUGAUGCAGGACGGUCGAAUUGAUUAGGCAGCCGAACUGUACAGUACUGUUAUGGGCCCCUUUGCAGUUACAGUUAAUGCUGACGGACAGGUACAUACUGUUAACGCAUACGCUAUGGACGUGUAUUAGCAGGCAAAACUAUUCUAUACGAAAGUUGCACACAUGCCCAGACAGCACGGCGGACACGAUUUCGGUGGGUGGAGUCGCCGAGUGCUCUUAGUCCACUUCCCAGGUUCUUCAUGCUAGUCCGUGGGAGUCCACCCCUUUCUGGUCAUAUCGCACACUGUGGCUGGGAAGAGGAUCCUCAUCAGGGUGCAGCUCGACCAAUGAGGCAAUGCCAUAUGGGCUCGCUGGAACCUGGCCCACAUGUGAAUGACCCAACAGCACACACCGUUAGCCAGGGGAGCUGGAUACUGCAGGUCGCUUUGUCGUCUCACAUGCCCCACUGCCUCUGGUGAGUCUCGUCAGCGAUUUUUUUUUUUAAAAGAAGGAACAGUGCAUCGUGCUGCAGCUGAACCGAGAGAGAGUACCAAAGAGCCAAAUCCUAGAGAGGAAAGUGUGGAGUAGUAAACUCUUUAGCGAGCCGUGUGGCCGAUUCAGAGAAAUAAACAACAAAUUCUCAUAGGAUUAAAGAGAGCGUUUGUGUAAGAGAGCUUUUUUGCGGAAAUGAGAGAGAAUACCUUUUUUGGAAGGUCAAGAAAAGUCUUUUUUCUUCACAAGCGAGAGAGAAUCUGUAUGGAUCCAUAUUCCAUGGUCAAGGGAAUUAUAUUCACACUUGGAAUUAUCUGCGCAAGGGAAACAAAAUACUCGAAGAAACGCUGAAUGGCGUGGUGCAAGAAGUGUCAGAAAUAAAGUGUCUUAUGAAUGGAGAUAUCUAAGUAACAAUCCUCAUGAAUGCCAGCAUGAUCAAGAUGUUCUCAUACAUUGAUUUUAUAUGCUAGUAUACUUUGUGCCAAUUUAUUUACAUGGACUAACUUUUAUGAAUCACUCAAUGUUUUGUAGGACUGAUGGUCGACAGUAUUAUAUAGAUGCAUGGGGAGGCAUUGUAAUCUCCUAUGAAGAAUGCUAUUCAUUCGGACAAUGCUGAUCUCCCUCGAUUCUAUUAAUAAAUAUUAUCUUUUGUAGUUGUCUCAUUUUUCAGUUACAUACGAGCAUGUGAAUUGGUCAUGAGAUGAGUGCUUAAGGUGUGCUUUUUUUACUCAAAUUUCCUAAACGGUGUUUUAGUUCCGUAAUAGUAUGUUUACAUUUUUGUUAAUUUACCUUAUUUUUGUUGAUAAGGGAGGCUAUAAUCCUUUCAUUAUUCACAUUCUUUUGUUUCUAAAUUAAUGUGUAUUUUAAUACUCGCUGCGUAUAUAAUUAAAGUGGUUGUUCACGAUUCUACAAGUGGUCACUGAAGGAUAUCAAAAUGGUAAAGAGAAUGAUAAUUACUAAUAUAAAGUGGUCUUUAAUGAUGCUUCAAUCAACUAUGGACAAAUUAUUAGUGAUGAAAAAAUGGUCGUCAAUAGUACAAUUGUGACCGUUAUUGCCUCAAGAUUGACAACGACAAACCAUCCUGUCGUGACAAGAAUGACGACCAGCAAAUGUAUGCAAUCAUUAUUAAUUUAAACAAUGAAGUCUUUAACAACGGCAAAUAACCAUCAGAUUAUGGUCGUUAUUGAUCUUUAGCGACCACAAUCUAACUUCUAACAACCCCAUACAUGGUCGUCAAAAAUGUUUUUUUUGUAGUGGCUUGUGAUCUGCACGAGUAUGCAAACCACACGUGUGUAGCGAAGAUAAGCUGGCUUUCCCCCAGUACACAAACAUGUACUGGAGAGCAACCUAUUACAGUACAAGCUUAGCUACACUGAAACACGCAUGCGACACAACACGGGGGCAUAACGAUUGAUGGUCACUGCCUCAAAGGACCGUGUUGGCCCUGUGUUAGUUUCCUUGCUUGAUCUGAGUUUGUUACACGCUGGUUACAAGUGCAUAAAUGGCAGCUAUACUAGCUAACUACAAGUGCAACUCAGUGAUUGUUUCUUUCCCAAGCCGAAUUUACACUCAUGGUUAUUUGCAACAAAUUGGAGAUGCAACAAAUGACAAAUGCGGUCUGUGCAGUAAUUGCAGUACUAUGUAGUUGUGACCUGAUGGUGCUUCAACCCUCUACAGGCGUAUAUCUUGGCUGGGCAGCAGUGCAAAUAUGACUAUAUACCGAAAAACUAACCAGGCUACUGCAAUAUACCUAGAUCCGUCGUACACAUGCCUUCCUAACACUUUCCAAGCCCAGAUUGUUUGGUGCCAAUCUCCAUCUCUGCGGUGCAAACUAGCAUCACAUUUGGUGUACCAUGUCCCAGUAUUGCACACGGAAGGAACAACCCUGAUAGCAGGGAGAAUGCAAGUCAUUGGAGCACAUUUCAUUAGAGAUGUUGGUGGUGAUGGUCCUAUAUAUAUGUGAGGUCUCUGGCUCCUCUUUAAUAUUUUUUGUCGACUUGUCCUUCAAUUCCUAUGGACCCUACCUAAUAAAAGAAGUUGUGGUUUUUGCACGCAACCACUAGUUGAUCUUUUGCAUGCCCAAAGGGAUUUAUGGAGAUGGCACAGCCAACUAAAAAGUGUGAAGAAUGGUUGGAGGAAAAGGAAAUAAUAGUGGUUGCCAACAAUUAAUCUUCAAAACAUGCAGGCUACUUCUCAAGGUCAUCGUAUGUCUUCUUAUCUAUUACUUAAAACUCUGAACAGAUGUACAAAGUUUUGGGCCGAAAUAUAUGUAUCCAAGUUGAUAUUCGAAGAGUCACAGUCAUGGUAGAUUCGCACGAGACCUGAGGUCAACUCUCCGUUUGUCCAUGGUAUUGCAACACAGGAGCCACUUGAUGCCAAUAUUUAUCUACUAUAUUGAAUUGGUGCUAUCUGUGUAACCAUGCAUAGACAAACAUGUGUUUGCUCCUGGCAAGGCGGCUGUUGAUGUGCGAUCAAACAAAGGGAAACAAAAAUGGCAUGUGUUUGUAUUUUCUCUCGCUAAUUUGAACAUGUGUGAGAUGUUCAAUAGUCCAUUCAUUAACAAAAUGUCCAAAUUAGGCUAUCACGGUCGACAUAUGACUCCCAUGCAUAAUCCAAUCAUAAGCCCUAAAACUAAAGUUCGAAUUUAGUCACAUAAUGCAUGUAAGAAUUGUGCUGAUGGGGCCAUGAGCUUGGCCCAUAUACACAAGUGUCAAGGAGAGCAUGGUUGUUAUAUCCAACACAUACCAACCGACACAUUCACAUACUUUCAUGGACAUCCUCUCGACCAACUCCUUAAGCAUGUAUACACACCUUCUUAGCCUGACCAAGGACCAAGGUUCAUCUCGUUUUGAGCGUCUCAAGCUUCCUUUGUUGUAUUUUUCUCUCAUAAGGUCAUAAAAACUACAACAGCCACAUGUUAGGCUAUGGAGGUCCAUUGUCUUGUUGACCGCCUCGUUACCUUUCAUGACAACCCAGACUCCAUGCAUGUGCACGCAUUGGGUCUUAGUCUACGCAGCCCAUACACCUUGAUUGUCAUCAUCGAGCAUGCAUGGGGUACUACAUCCUUCAAUGACAUCAUGACCCUCUUCUUUGAUUUCCCCUCAUAUAUGAAGCAACAUAACGAUGAUAGAGAAUUCUCGAACCCCAUUGGUGUUGGGGAACGUAGUAAUUUCAAAAAAAUUCCUAUGCACACGCAAGAUUAUGGUGAUGCAUAGCAACGAGAGGGGAGAGUGUUGUCUACGUACCCUCGUAGACCGGCAACGGAAGCAUUGACACAAUGUAGAUGAAGUAGUCGCACGUCUUCCCGAUCCGACCGAUCCAAGUACCGAACGUACGACACCUCCGAGUUCUGCACACGUUCAACUCGGUGACGUCCCUCGAGCUCCGAUCCAGCCGAGUGUUGAGGGAGAGUUUUGUCAGCACGAUGGCGUGAUGACGGUGAUGAUGUCUACCGCUGCAGGGCUUCGCCUAAGCACCGCUACGAUAUGACCGAGGUGGAAUAUGGUGGAAGGGGGCACCGCACACGGCUAAGGAACGAUCACGAAGAUCAACUUGUGUGUCAUGGGGUGCCCCCUUGCCCCCGUAUAUAAAGGAGGGAGAGGGGGAGGUGCGGCCGGCCCUAGGGGUGCGCCUGGAGGAGUCCUACUCCCACCGGGAAUAGGACUCCCCCCUCUUGCCUUGUUGGAGAAGGAAAGAGGAAGGGGGAAAGAGGAAACGGGGGCGCCGCCCCCCCUUCCUUGUCCUAUUCGGACUAGGGGGGGGGGGCCUGCCCUAGCCGGCCCUCCUCUUCUCCCUUAGGGCCCAUGUAGGCCCAUUAAACCCCGGGGGGUUCCGAUAACCCCUCGGUACUCCAGUAAAAUCCCGAUUUCUCCCGGAACGUUUCCGAUAUCCAAAUAUAGGCUUCCAAUAUAUCAAUCUUUAUGUCUCGACCAUUUCGAGACUCCUCGUCAUGUCCAUGAUCUCAUCCGGGACUCCGAACAACCUUCAGUACAUCAAAACACAAAAACCCUAAUUACGAUCGUCACCGAACUUUAAGCAUGCGGAUCCUACGGGUUCGAGAACUAUGUAGACAUGACCGAGACACGUCUCCGGUCAAUAACCAAUAGCAGAACCUGGAUGCUCAUAUUGGCUCCUACAUAUUCUACGAAGUUCUUUAUCGGUCAGACCGUAUAACAACAUACAUUGUUCCCUUUGUCAUCGGUAUGUUACUUGCCCGAGAUUCGAUCGUCGGUAUCUCAAUACCUAGUUCAAUCUCGUUACCGGCAAGUCUCUUUACUCGUUCCGUAAUACAUCAUCCCGCAACUAACUUAUUAGUUGCAAUGCUUGCAAUGCUUGCAAGGCUUGAGUGAUGUGUAUUACCGAGAGGGCCCAGAGAUACCUCUCCGACAAUCGGAGUGAGAAAUCCUAAUCUCGAAAUAUGCCAACCCAACAAGUACCUUUGAAGACACCUGUAGAGCACCUUUAUAAUCACCCAGUUACAUUGUGACGUUUGGUAGCACACAAAGUGUUCCUCCGGUAAACGGGAGUUGCAUAAUCUCAUAGACAUAGGAACAUGUAUAAGUUAUGAAGAAAGCGAUAGCAACAUACUAAACGAUCGGGUGCUAAGCUAAUGGAAUGAGUCAUGUCAAUCACAUCAUUCUCCUAAUGAUGUGAUCCCGCUAAUUAAAUGACAACACAUGUCUAUGGUUAGGAAACAUAACCAUCUUUGAUUAACGAGCUAGUCAAGUAGAGGCACACUAGUGACGUUUAGUUUGUCUAUGUAUUCACACAAGUAUUAUGUUUUCGGAUAAUACAAUUCUAGCAUGAAUAAUAAACAUUUAUCAUGAUAUAAGGAAAUAAAAUAAUAACUUUAUUAUUGCCUCUAGGGCAUAUUUCCUUUAGUCUCCCACUUGCACUAGAGUCAAUAAUCUAGAUUACACAGUAAUGAUUCUAACACCCAUGGAGCUUUGGUGCUGAUCAUGUUUUGCUCGUGGAAGAGGCUUAGUCAACGGGUUUGCUACAUUCAGAUCCGUAUGUAUCUUGCAAAUCUCUAUGUCUCCCACCUGGACUAGAUCCCGGAUGGAAUUGAAGCGUCUCUUGAUGUGCUUGGUUCUCUUGUGAAAUCUGGAUUCCUUUGCCAAGGCAAUUGCACCAGUAUUGUCACAAAAGAUUUUCAUUGGACCCGAUGCACUAGGUAUGACACCUAGAUCGGAUAGGAACUCUUUCAUCCAGACUCCUUCGUUUGCUGCUUUCGAAGCAACUAUGUACUCCGCUUCACAUGUAGAUUCCGCCACAACGCUUUGUUUAGAACUGCACCAACUGACAGCUCCACCGUUUAAUGUAAACACGUAUCCGGUUUGCGAUUUAGAAUCGUCCGGAUCAGUGUCAAAGCUUGCAUCAACGUACCCAUUUACAAUGAGCUCUUUGUCACACAUCGGGUAUUUCAGGAUGUUCUUGACCGCUGUCCAGUGAUCCACUCCUGGAUUACUUUGGUACCUCCCUGCUAGACUUAUAGCAAGACACACAUCAGGUCUGGUACACAUCAUUGCAUACAUGAUAGAGCCUAUGGCUGAAGCAUAGGGAACAUCUUUCAUUUUCUCUCUAUCUUCUGCAGUGGUCGGGCAUUGAGUCUUACUCAAUUUCACACCUUGUAACACAGGCAAGAAUCCUUUCUUUGCUUGAUCCAUUUUGAACUUCUUCAAAAAUUUGUCAAGGUAUGUGCUUUGUGAAAGUCCAAUUAAGCGUCUUGAUCUAUCUCUAUAGAUCUUAAUGCCCAAUAUGUAAGCAGCUUCACCGAGGUCUUUCAUUGAAAAACUCUUAUUCAAGUAUCCCUUUAUGCUAUCAAGAAAUUCUAUAUCAUUUCCGAUUAGUAAUAUGUCAUCUACAUAUAAUAUCAGAAAUGCUACAGAGCUCCCACUCACUUUCUUGUAAAUGCAGGCUUCUCCAAAAGUCUGUACAAAACCAAAUGCUUUGAUCACACUAUCAAAGCAUUUAUUCCAACUCCGAGAAGCUUGCACCAGUCCAUAAAUGGAUCGCUGGAGCUUGCACACUUUGUUAGCUCCCUUUGGAUCGACAAAACCUUCUGGUUGCAUCAUAUACAACUCUUCUUCCAGAAAUCCAUUCAGGAAUGCAGUUUUGACAUCCAUUUGCCAAAUUUCAUAAUCAUAAAAUGCGGCAAUCGCUAACAUGAUUCGGACAGACUUAAGCAUCGCUACGGGUGAGAAGGUCUCAUCAUAGUCAAUCCCUUGAACUUUUCGAAAACCUUUUGCAACAAGUCGAGCUUUGUAGACAGUAACAUUACUGUCAGCGUCAGUCUUCUUCUUGAAGAUCCAUUUAUUCUUAAUUGCUUGCCGAUCAACGGGCAAGUCAACCAAAGUCCACACUUUGUUCUCAUACAUAGAUCCCAUCUCAGAUUUCAUGGCUUCUAGCCAUUUUGCGAAAUCUAGGCUCACCGUCGCUUCUUCAUAGUUCGUAGGUUCAUCAUGAUCUAGUAGCAUGACUUCCAGAACAGGAUUACCGUACCACUCUGGUGCGGAUCUUAUUCUGGUUGAUCUACGAGGUUCAGUAGUAUCAUGUUCUAAAGUUUCAUGAACAUCAUCAUUAGCUUUCUCACUAAUUGGUGUAGGUGUCACAGAAACUGGUUUCUGUGAUAUACUACUUUCCAAUAAGGGAGCAGGUACAGUUACCUCAUCAAGUUCUACUUUCCUCCCACUCACUUCUUUCGAGAGAAACUCCUUCUCUAGAAAUAUUCCGAAUUUAGCAACAAAAGUCUUGCCUUCGGAUCUGUGAUAGAAGGUGUAUCCAAUAGUUUCCUUUGGAUAUCCUAUGAAGACACAUUUUUCCGAUUUGGGUUCGAGCUUAUCAGGUUGAAGCUUUUUCACAUAAGCAUCGCAGCCCCAAACUUUCAGAAAUGACAACUUUGGUUUCUUGCCAAACCACAGUUCAUAAGGCGUCAUCUGAACGGAUUUUGAUGGUGCCCUAUUUAACGGGAAUGCGGCCAUCUCUAAAGCAUAACCCCAAAAAGACAACGGUAAAUCAGUAAGAGACAUCAUAGAUCGCACCAUAUCUAGUAAAGUACGAUUACGACGUUCGGACACACCAUUACGCUGCGGUGUUUCGGGUGGCGUGAGUUGUGAAACUAUUCCACAUUGUUUCAAAUGUACACCAAACUCGUAACUCAAAUAUUCUCCUCCAUGAUCAGAUCGUAGGAAUUUUAUUUUCUUGUUACAAUGAUUUUCAACUUCACUCUAAAAUUCUUUGAACUUUUCAAAUGUUUCAGACUUAUGUUUCAUUAAGUAGAUAUACCCAUAUCUGCUUAAGUCAUCUGUGAAGGUGAGAAAAUAACGAUAUCCGCCACGAGCCUCAACAUUCAUCGGACCACAUACAUCUGUAUGUAUGAUUUCCAACAAAUUUGUUGCUCUCUCCAUAGUACCGGAGAACGGUGUUUUGGUCAUCUUGCCCAUAAGGCACGGUUCGCAAGUACCAAGUGAUUCAUAAUCAAGUGGUUCCAAAAGUCCAUCAGUAUGGAGUUUCUUCAUGCGCUUUAUACCGAUAUGAUCUAAAUGGUAGUGCCACAAAUAAGUUGCACUAUCAUUAUCAACUCUGCAUCUUUUGGUUUCAACAUUAUGAAUCUGUGUGUCACUACUAUCGAGAUUUAAUAAGAAUAGACCACUCUUCAAGGGUGCAUGACCAUAAAAGAUAUUACUCAUAUAAAUAGAACAACCAUUAUUCUCUGAUUUAAAUGAAUAACCGUCUCGCAUUAAACAAGAUCCAGAUAUAAUGUUCAUGCUCAACGCUGGCACCAAAUAACAAUUAUUUAGGUCUAAUACUAAUCCCGAAGAUAGAUGUAGAGGUAGCGUGCCGACCGCGAUCACAUCGACUUUGGAACCAUUUCCCACGCACAUCGUCACCUCGUCCUUAGCCAAUCUUCGCUUAAUCCAUAGCCCUGUUUCGAGUUGCAAAUAUUAGCAAUAGAACCAGUAUCAAAUACCCAGGUGCUACUGCGAGCAUUAGUAAGGUACACAUCAAUAACAUGUAUAUCACAUAUACCUUUGUUCACCUUGCCAUCCUUCUUAUCCGCCAAAUACUUGGGGUAGUUCCGCUUCCAGUGACCAGUCUGCUUGCAGUAGAAGCACUCAGUUUCAGGCUUAGGUCCAGAUUUGGGUUUCUUCUCCUGAGCAGCAACUUGCUUGCUGUUCUUUUUGAAGUUCCCCUUCUUCUUCCCUUUGCCCUUUUUCUUGAAACUAGUGGUCUUGUUGACCAUCAACACUUGAUGCUCCUUUUUGACUUCUACCUCCGCAGCUUUCAGCAUUGCGAAGAGCUCGGGAAUUGUCUUAUUCAUCCCUUGCAUAUUAUAGUUCAUCACGAAGCUCUUGUAGCUAGGUGGAAGUGAUUGGAUAAUUCUGUCAAUGACGCAAUCAUCUAGAAGAUUAACUCCUAAUUGAAUCAAGUGAUUAUUAUACCCAGACAUUUUGAGUAUAUGCUCACUGACAGAACUGUUCUCCUCCAUCUUGCAGCUAUAGAACUUAUUGGAGACUUCAUAUCUCUCAAUCCGGGCAUUUGCCUGAAAUAUUAACUUCAACUCCUGGAACAUCUCAUAUGCUCCAUGACGUUCAAAACGUCGUUGAAGUCCCGAUUCUAAGCCGUAAAGCAUGGCACACUGAACUAUCGAGUAGUCAUCAACUUUUCUCUACCAGACAUUCAUAACAUCUGGUGUUGCUCCAGCAGCAGGCCUGGCACCCAGCGGUGCUUUCAGGACGUAAUUCUUCUGUGCAGCAAUGAGGAUAAUCCUCAAGUUACGGACCCAGUCCGUGUAACUGCUACCAUCAUCUUUCAACUUUGCUUUCUCAAGGAACGCACUAAAAUUCAACGGAACAACAGCACGGGCCAUCUAUCUAUAAUCAAACAUAAACAAGAAAGAUACUAUCAGGUACUAAGUUCAUGAUAAAUUUAAGUUCAAUUGAUCAUAUUACUAAAGAACUCCCACUUAGAUAGACAUCCCUCUAAUCCUCUAAGUGAUCACGUGAUCCAAAUCAACUAAACCAUAUCCGAUCAUCACGUGAGAUGGAGUAGUUUCAUUGGUGAACAUCACUAUGUUGAUCAUAUCUACCAUAUGAUUCACGCUCGACCUUUCGGUCUCCGUGUUCCGAGGCCAUAUCUGUAUAUGCUUGGCUCGUCAAGUAUAACCUGAGUAUUCCGCGUGUGCAACUGUUUUGCACCCGUUGUAUUUGAACGUAGAGCCUAUCACACCCGAUCAUCACGUGGUGUCUCAGCACGAAGAACUUUCGCAACGGUGCAUACUCAGGGAGACCACUUCUUGAUAAUUAGUGAGAGAUCAUCUUAAAAUGCUACCGUCAAUCAAAGCAAGAUAAGAUGCAUAAAAGAUAAACAUCAUAUGCAAUCAAUAUAAGUGAUAUGAUAUGGCCAUCAUCAUCUUGUGCUUGCGAUCUCCAUCUUUGAAGCACCAUCAUGAUCACCAUCGUCACCGGCGCGACACUUUGAUCACCAUCGUAGCAUCGUUGUCGUCUCGCCAAUCUUAUGCUUCCACGACUAUCGCUACCGUUUAGUGAUAAAGUAAAACAUUACAACGCAAUUGCAUUGCAUACAAUAAAGUGACAACCAUAUGGCUCCUGCCAGUUGCCGAUAACUCGGUUAGAAAACAUGAUCAUCUCAUACAAUAAAAUUUAGUAUCAUGUCUUGACCAUAUCACAUCACAACAUGCCCUGCAAAAACAAGUUAGACGUCCUCUACUUUGUUUGUUGCAAGUUUUACGUGGCUGCUACGGGCUUAAGCAAGAACCAAUCUUACCUACGCAUCAAAACCACAACGAUAGUUUGUCAAGUUGGUGAUGUUUUAACCUUCGCAAGGACCGGGCGUAGCCACACUCGGUUCAACUAAAGUUGGAGAAACUGACACCCGCCAGCCAGCUGUGUGCAAAGCACGUCGGUAGAACCAGUCUCGCGUAAGCGUAGGCGUAAUGUCGGUCCGGGCCGCUUCAUCCAACAAUACCGCCGAACCAAAGUAUGACAUGCUGGUAAGCAGUAUGACUUAUAUCGCCCACAACUCACCUGUGUUCUACUCGUGCAUAUAACAUCAACACAUAAAACCUAGGCUCGGAUGCCACUGUUGGAGAACGUAGUAAUUUCAAAAAAAUCCUACGCACACGCAAGAUCAUGGUGAUGCAUAGCAACGAGAGGGGAGAGUGUAGUCUCCGUACCCUCGUAGACCGACAGCGGAAGCGUUAUGACAACACGGUUGAUGUAGUCGCAUGUCUUCACGGCCCGACCGAUCAAGCACCAAAACUGUGGCACCUCCGAGUUUUAGCACACGUUCAACUCGAUGACGAUCCCCGGACUCCGAUCCAGCAAAGUGUCGGGGAAGAGUUCCGUCAGCACGACGGCGUGGUGACGAUCUUGAUGUUCUACCAUCGCAGGGCUUCGCCUAAACACCGCAACAAUAUUAUCGAGGAGUAUGGUGGAAGGGGGCACCGCACACGGCUAAGAAAACGAUCACGAGGAUCAACUUGUGUGUCUAGAGGUGCCCCUGCCUCCGUAUAUGAAGGAGCAAAGGGGGGGUGCGGCCGGCCCUAGGAGGAGGUGCGCUGGAGGAGUCCUACUCCUAUCGGGAGUAGGACUCCCCACCUUUCCCUAGUUGGAUUAGGACUGGGGGGGUGUGAAGNNNNNNNNNNNNNNNNNNNNNNNNNNNNNNNNNNNNNNNNNNNNNNNNNNNNNNNNNNNNNNNNNNNNNNNNNNNNNNNNNNNNNNNNNNNNNNNNNNNNNNNNNNNNNNNNNNNNNNNNNNNNNNNNNNNNNNNNNNNNNNNNNNNNNNNNNNNNNNNNNNNNNNNNNNNNNNNNNNNNNNNNNNNNNNNNNNNNNNNNNNNNNNNNNNNNNNNNNNNNNNNNNNNNNNNNNNNNNNNNNNNNNNNNNNNNNNNNNNNNNNNNNNNNNNNNNNNNNNNNNNNNNNNNNNNNNNNNNNNNNNNNNNNNNNNNNNNNNNNNNNNNNNNNNNNNNNNNNNNNNNNNNNNNNNNCCACUAGGCCCAUUAAGGCCCAUUAGGUUACCGGGGGGUUCCGGUAACCUCCCGGUACUCCGGUAAAAUGCCGAUUUCACCCGGAACACUUCCGAUGUCCAAACAUAGGCUUCCAAUAUAUCAAUAUUUAUGUCUCGACCAUUUCGAGACUCCUCGUCAUGUCUGUGAUCACAUCCGGGACUCCGAACAAACUUCGGUUCAUCAAAAUAUAUAAACUCAUAAUGAAAUUGUCAUCGUAACGUUAAGCGUGCGGACCCUACGGGUUCGAGAACAAUGUAGACAUGAUCGAGACAUGUCUCCGGUCAAUAACCAAUAGCGGAACCUGGAUGCUCAUAUUGGCUCCCAUAUAUUCUACGAAGAUCUUUAUCGGUCAGACCGCAUAACAACAUACUUUGUUCCCUUUGUCAUCGGUAUGUUACUUGCCCGAGAUUCGAUCGUCGGUAUCUCAAUACCUAGUUCAAUCUUGUUACCGGCAAGUCUCUUUACUCGUUUCGUAAUACAUCAUCUCGCAACUAACUCAUUAGUUGCAAUGCUUGCAAGGCUUAUGUGAUGUGUAUUACCGAGAGGGCCCAGAGAUACCUCUCCGACAAUCGGAGUGACAAAUCCUAAUCUCGAAAUACGCCAACCCAACAUGUACCUUUGGAGACACCUGUAGAGCUCCUUUAUAAUAACCCAGUUACGUUGUGACGUUUGGUAGCACACAAAGUGUUCCUCCGAUAAACGGGAGUUGCAUAAUCUCAUAGACAUAGGAACAUGUAUAAGUUAUGAAGAAAGCGAUAGCAACAUACUAAAAGAUCGGGUGCUAACCUAAUGGAAUGGGUCAUGUCAAUCACAUCAUUCUCCUAAUGAUGUGAUCCCGCUAAUCAAAUGACAACACAUGUCUAUGGUUAGGAAACAUAACCAUCUUUGAUUAACGAGCUAGUCAAGUAGAGGCACACUAGUGAUGUUUAGUUUGUCUAUGUAUUCACACAAGUAUUAUGUUUCCGGAUAAUACAAUUCUAGCAUGAAUAAUAAACAUUUAUCAUGAUAUAAGGAAAUAAAAUAAUAACUUUAUUAUUGCCUCUAGGGCAUAUUUCCUUCAGAGCCGCACUGGACGGUGGCGCAAUGCAUGAGGUACAGAACUUAAACUCCUUCAUCAUCACAUCAAUCACAACGUUUAUGUCACUAAUAGUUAAUUUCUUAAGAAUAGAGCAUGUCUCCUUGGGCUAAAAUGUAACAAAGUUCAGAAUAUUAAAGUUUAUAUUAUUAACCUUAACUUUCAUUUAUCAAAGAUCUGCACACUUUGUUUUGGAUCCACACACCUAGGCUCGUCUAAUGUGAUCGGAUCUCUCCAGAUUCCUUUUGAUGCAUCACCUGUUACUCUUUUCGGUGAAUUAUGUUAGUAGUAAUCUUGAUUAGCUAGUUGCAUGUGUGUUGUUAGCAGGAUUAGCGUGGUCGUAGCUUAGGUCAAGCAUGUACCUUAUGUUUUGUCUCAUGUAAAAAGCUUAGGACCGUGUUUACUGAAUAAUUAAGUUCUUCUGACAGGGAACUAUGCAUCCUGAAUGGCAUAGACUCUUGGCUUCAUGAAAUGACCCAUGUCUAUGAUUCAAGGUAUCUUAGAUCUUCGAUGUCGGAUGCAAAUAACUGCUUAAUUUCACUUCUCCGCAAUGUUCAUUCUCACAUAUUUCUAUCAUUCUUUGCACGGAUAAAGUAAAGAAAAAGAAGAAAAGAUUAGUAGAAGAUUAGUUUUAGAAUUUCUUCUAUUUCCUUGUAAUUUUUCUUUUAUUGGACACUUGUAAAGACAUUGUAAUAUUCUUACUAUAAUAAAAAUUAUGAUUCUAUUUCAUUUUUUGUUUUAAAUUAUUUUUCCUUAUAGGUUGUUUUCUGUAAAUUUGGAUUUUUUGUUUUCCAAAUACAUUACUAGUGGCGCAUUUCAGCCCUUAUUAGUGGCGCACCUUCCUUUAUUACUAGUGACGCACCUAUAAGGCUAUUAGUGGCGCACCUAGAGGGAAUACCAGUGGAGCACGUAAGGGUUAGUAGUGGCGCACAAGAGGUGCGCCAUUACUAUCUGGAUUACUAAUGACGCACCAGAGAUGCGCCAUUAGUAUCUGUUACUAGUGGCGUGUUAAUAAUGGCACACCUAUAGUGUGCCAUUACUAACGAAAACAGGUGCACCACUAAUAGGGCUUUUUCUAGUAGUGUGGCGUGAGUUGCGAAACUAUUCCGCUUUGUUUCAAAUGUAGACCAAACUCGUAACUCAAAUAUUCUCCUCCACGAUCAGAUCGUAUAAACUUUAUUUUCUUGUUACGAUGAUUUUCAACUUCACUCUGAAAUUCUUUGAACUUUUCAAAUGUUUCAGACUUAUGCUUCAUUAAGUAGAUAUAGCCAUAUCUGCUUAAAUCAUCUGUGAAGGUGAGAAAAUAACGAUAUCCGCCACAAGCUUCAACAUUCAUUGGACCACAUACAUCUGUAUGUAUGAUUUCCAACAAAUCUGUUGCUCUCUCCAUAGUACCGGAGAACGGCGUUUUAGUCAUCUUGCCCAUGAGGCACAGUUCGCAAGUACCAAGUGAUUCAUAAUCAAGUGGUUCCAAAAGUCCAUCAGUAUGGAGUUUCUUCAUGCGCUUUACACCGAUAUGACCUAAACGGCAGUGCCACAAAUAAGUUGCACUAUCAUUAUCAACUCUGCAUCUUUUGGUUUCAACAUUAUGAAUAUGUGUAUCACUACUAUCGAGAUUCAUAAAAAAUAGACCACUCUUCAAGGGUGCAUGACCAUAAAAGAUAUUACUCAUAUAAAUAGAACAACUAUUAUUCUCUAAUUUAAAUGAAUAACCGUCUCGCAUCAAACAAGAUCCUGAUAUAAUGUUCAUGCUCAACGCUGGCACCAAAUAACAAUUAUUUAGGUCUAGUACUAAUCCCGAAGGUAGAUGUAGAGGUAGCGUGCCGACCGCAAUCACAUCGACUUUGGAACCAUUUCCUACGCGCAUCGUCACCUCGUCCUUAGCCAAUCUUCGCUUAAUCCAUAGCCCUUGUUUCGAGUUGCAAAUGUUAGCAACAGAACCAGUAUCAAAUACCCAGGUGCUACUGUGAGCAUUAGUAAGGUACACAUCAAUAACAUGUAUAUCACAUAUACCUUUGUUCACUUUGCCAACCUUCUUAUCCGCCAAAUACAUGGGGCAAUUCCGCUUCCAGUGACCAGUUUGCUUGCAGUAGAAGCACUCAGUCUCAGACUUAGGUCCAGACUUGGAUUUCUUCUCCUGAGUAGCAACUUGUUUGCUGUUCUUCUUGAAGUUACCCUUCUUCUUCCCUUUGCCCUUUUUCUUGAAACUGGUGGUCUUAUUGACCAUCAACACUUGAUGCACCUUCUUGAUUUCUACCUUCGCGGCUUUUAGCAUCGUGAAGAGCUUGGGAAUAGUCUUAUUCAUCCCUUGCAUAUUAUAGUUCAUCACGAAGCUUUUGUAGCUUGGUGGCAGUGAUUGAAGAACUCUGUCAAUGACACUUUCAACAGGAAGAUUAACUCCCAGUUGAGUCAAGUGAUUAUGAUAUCCAGACAUUUUGAGUAUAUGUUCACUGACAAAACUAUUCUUCUCCAUCUUGCAGCUAUAGAACUUAUUGGAGACUUCAUAUCUCUCAAUCCGGGCAUUUGCUUGAAAUAUUAACUUCAACUCCUGAAACAUCUCAUAUGCUCCAUGACGUUCAAAACGUCGUUGAAGACCCGGUUCUAAGCCGUAAAGCAUGGCACACUGAACUAUCGAGUAGUCAUCAGCUUUGAUCUGCCAGACGUUCAUAACAUCUGGUGUUCCUCCUGCAGCAGGCUUGGCACUUAGCGGUGCUUUCAGGACGUAAUUCUUCUGUGCCGCAAUGAGGAUAAUCCUCAAGUUACGGUCCCAGUCCAUGUAAUUGCUACCAUCAUCUUUCAACUUUGCUUUCUCAAGGAACGCAUUAAAAUUCAACGGAACAACAGCACGGGCCAUCUAUCUACAAUCAAACAUAAACAAGAAAGACACUAUCAGGUACUAAGUUCAUGAUAAAUUUAAGUUCAAUUAAUCAUAUUACUUAAUAACUCCCACUUAGAAAGAUAUCCCUCUAAUCCUCUAAGUGAUCACGUGAUCCAAAUCAACUAAACCAUGUCCGAUCAUCACGUGAGAUGGAGUAGUAUCAAUGGUGAACAUCACUAUGUUGAUCAUAUCUACUAUAUGAUUCACGCUCGACCUUUCGGUCUCCGUGUUCCAAGGCCAUAUCUGUUAUAUGCUAGGCUCGUCAAGUUUAACCUGAGUAUUCCGCGUGUGCAACUGUUUUGCACCCGUUGUAUUUGAACGUAGAGCCUAUCACACCCGAUCAUCACGUGGUGUCUCAGCACGAAGAACUUUCGCAAUGGUGCAUACUCAGGGAGAACACUUACUUUGAUAAUUUAGUAAGGGAUCGUCUUAUAAUGCUACCAUCAAUCAAAGCAAGAUAAGAUGCAUAAAAGAUAAACAUCACAUGCAAUCAAUAUAAGUGAUAUGAUAUGGCCAUCAUCAUCUUGUACUUGUGAUCUCCAUCUCCGAAGUACCGUCAUGAUCACCAUCGUCACCGGCGCGACACCUUGAUCUCCGUCGUAGCAUCAUUCUCGUCUCGCCAAUCUUAUGCUUCCACGACUAUCGCUACCGCUUAGUGAUAAAGUAAAGCAUUACAGUGCGAUUGCAUUGCAUACAAUAAAGCGACAACCAUAUGGCUCCUGCCAGUUGCCGAUAACUCGGUUACAAAACAUGAUCAUCUCAUACAAUAAAAUUUAGCAUCAUGUCUUGACCAUAUCACAUCACAACAUGCCCAGCAAAAACAAGUUAGACGUCCUCUACUUUGUUGUUGCAAGUUUUACGUGGCUGCUACGGGCUUAGCAAGAACCGUUCUUACCUACGCAUCAAAACCACAAUGAUAGUUUGUCUAGUUGGUGCUGUUUUAACCUUCGCAAGGACCGGGCGUAGCCACACUCGGUUCAACUAAAGUUGGAGAAACUGACACCCACCAGCCACCUGUGUGCAAAGCACGUCGGUAGAACCAGUCUCGCAUAAGCGUACACGUAAUGUCGGUCCGGGCCGCUUCAUCCAACAAUACCGCUGAACCAAAGUAUGACAUGCUAGUAAGUAGUAUGACUUAUAUCGCCCACAACUCACUUGUGUUCUACUCGUGCAUAACAUCAACGCAUAAAACCAGGCUUGGAUGCCACUGUUGGGGAACGUAGUAAUUUCAAAAAAAUUCCUACGCAUACACAAGAUCAUGGUGAUGCAUAGAAACAAGAGGGGAGAGUGUUGUCUACGUACCCUCGUAGACCGGCAACGGAAGCGUUGACACAACAUAGAGGAAGUAGUCGUACGUCUUCCUGAUCCGACCGAUCCAAGUACCGAACAUACGGCACCUCCGAGUUCUGCACACGUUCAACUCGGUGACGUCCCUCGAGCUCUGAUCCAGCCGAGUGUUGAGGGAGAGUUUUGUCAGCACGACAGCGUGAUGACGGUGAUGAUGUUCUACCGCUGCAGGGCUUCGCCUAAGCACCGCUACAAUAUGACCGAGGUGGAAUAUGGUGGAAGGGGGCACCGCACACAGCUAAGGAACGAUCACGAAGAUCAACUUGUGUGUCAUGGGGUGCCCCCUUGCCCCCAUAUAUAAAGGAGGGAGAAGGAGAGGUUCGGCCGGCCCUAGGGGUGCGCUUGGAGGAGUCCUACUCCCAUUGGGAGUAGGACUCCCCCCUCUUGCCCUGUUGGAGAAGAAAAGAGGAAGGGGGAAAGAGGAAAGGGGGGCACCGCCCCCCUUCCUUGUCCUAUUCGGACUAGGGGGGAGGGGGCGCGCGGCCUGCCCUGGCCGGCCCUCCUCUUCCCCUUAGGGCCCAUGUAGGCCCAUUAAACCCCGGGGGGUUCUGGUAACCCCCCGGUACUCCGGUAAAAUCCCGAUUUCUCCCGAAACGUUUCCGAUAUCCAAAUAUAGGCUUCCAGUAUAUCAAUCUUUAUGUCUCGACCAUUUCGAGACUCCUUGUCAUGUUCGUGGUCACAUCCGGGACUCCGAACAACCUUCGGUACAUCAAAACACAAAAACCCUAAUUACGAUCGUCACCGAACUUUAAGCGUGCGGACCCUACGGGUUCGAGAACUAUGUAGACAUGACCGAGACACGUCUCCGGUCAAUAACCAAUAGCGGAACCUGGAUGCUCAUAUUGGCUCCUACAUAUUCUACGAAGAUUUUUAUCGAUCAGACCGCAUAACAACAUACAUUGUUCCCUUUGUCAUCGGUAUGUUACUUGCCCGAGAUUCGAUCAUCGGUAUCUCAAUACCUAUUUCAAUCUUGUUACCGGCAAGUCUCUUUACUCGUUGCGUAAUACAUCAUCCCGCGACUAACUUAUUAGUUGCAAUGCUUGCAAGGCUUGAGUGAUGUGCAUUACCGAGAGGGCCCAGAGAUACCUCUCCGACAAUCGGAGUGACAAAUCCUAAUCUCGAAAUAUGCCAACCCAACAAGUACCUUUGGAGACACCUGUAGAGCAGCUUUAUAAUCACCCAGUUACGUUGUGAUGUUUGGUAGCACACAAAGUGUUCCUCCGGUAAACGAGAGUUGCAUAAUCUCAUAGUCAUAGGAACAUGUAUAAGUUAUGAAGAAAGCAGUAGCAACAAACUAAAGGAUCAAGUGCUAAGCUAACGGAAUGAGUCAAGUUAAUCACAUCAUUCUCCUAAUGAUGUGAUCCCGUUAAUCAAAUGACAACUCAUGUCUAUGGCUAGGAAACAUAACCAUCUUUGAUCAAUGAGCUAGUCAAGUAGAGGCAUACUAGUGACACUCUGUUUGUCUAUGUAUUCACACAUGUAUUGUGUUUCCGGUUAAUACAAUUCUAGCAUGAAUAUAAACAUUUAUCAUGAUAUAAGGAAAUAAAUAAUAACUUUUAUUAUUGCCUCUAGGGCAUAUUUCCUUCAAUUGGAACGCAGAUCAAUGGUGAAGAAGGGUCUACCACUUAGCUAAGAUUCCACUUGUUAAGUUUUGGAUCUCCUUAAAAGCGAUUGUCGUGGUAUUCUUACAGGGGGGGACGACAAAUGCCACAGGGUGGCUUGAGUGUGAGGGCAAGACUGUUGCCGGAGUAUCCGGGGACGGGUAUGCGAGUAGCACGCGCUGGUUUACCCAGGUUCAGGGCUCUCCGGAGAGAUAAUACCCCUACUCCUGCAUGUCUGAGUAUAUAUGUGGGGUGUACAUCGGGCGGUAGAAAGUGCUCCGGGAGCUGUAUCUGAGAUCAGUAGCAAUGAGAGCUAGCUAGCUAGUUUGGCACAUGAGCUUGGCCAUGUGUGGCCGUGGGAGUGUGUGAGUGCUCUUACGUGAGAGUGUGUGGUGGAUGGAUGGAUGGAUGUGUGCCUUAUAUAGGCAUGGCUAGCUUAGCAUGUAAGCAAUGUGGUGGCAUGGGAGAAAGGGGGUAUGGUGGGGUGUCAUGCUUGUCUCCUGGGUCACUUCAUAAAUAGUGCCCAGGGACAACUGACACUAUACAUGAUGACAUGAGAUGACACGCGAACAGUGCUCCGGUACAGCCAUCUCGUCGGUGUCGAGUUGGUGCAGCGGCCGACUUCGCGCAGCAGGCCGGCUGGAGCAGUCGGCCGGAGGAGUAGGCCGGGUGACGAGUCGGCCCGGGAAGUCGGACAUGGGGCCGUCUGGGGUGGCCUGAGCAGUCGUACUGAGGGGUCUUUGCUAUCCCCGAUGUCUUGAAAUAUCGACUUGCCGUCUUCGGGGUACCUGUGGUCAAUUACCCCGACAGUAGCCCCCGAGCCUCCGGGCAACUUGGCAAAGUUGGGCAGAGGUUUUUUGGUGGGUGUUGAUGUAGCCUCCGAGCCUCCGAGCGAGGAGGGGGGGUCCCCACGGAAAUGAUCAUGCAAAAGGACAAAAUUAGUCCACGCAGAUAUAUCAAAUAUUUGCUUUUAGCAUUGCAAGUUUAUGCGGAGGGUGCCAACUCGGUUUCGUCCGAGCCCCCUUAAUCUUUUUCGUGUUCCCUCCGCUCUUUGGCUUGUGCUCUCGCUUGCCGGACAGCCGCUCUGCGGUCUGUGGCUGAGAGUGGGCCGUUAAGUGGAGUGUACAGUACUCAGACUCUAGGAGCAGAUUCGACCGAGCAGAUACUCGUAAAGUAAACGGCCGGGUCGCCCGAACUGUUUUUCUUCCCAAACGUUUUUCGCGUGGGUGGUCUCCAGCAUUCACUCUUGCUAGCCAAAGAGCCAUUCUGCGGUCUGUGACUAAGAGUGGGCAUUUGGUAUCGCGCACUAUACUAAGCCAUCUACAGGAACUAAUGUCUCAGGCCAAGCGGCCAGCCCUUGGGCCAACUCUGGCUAGCGCCGGGGCGAAUAGUGAUGCAACUGUAAUAAAAUGCUGGGAUAGCCCCCCGAGUAUUGCUCGAGGUCAUCCGUGCUUUCGUGGUGAAAAAAUAUGCGGGUGAGGAGCUCACAUUAAUUUUUGUUCAAGCAAGAUGGAGUUUGCCGAAGACAGCCGGCGCGGCUCGGCGCUCGCGGAGCGCGCCGGCGCACCCGCUGGGUGUAGCCUUCGAGCCUCCGGGUGCUCGAAGGGGGGUCCCGGCCGGUCAGGCUCGAUCGGCCAGGCGGCGAGGCGUCUGGCAGCGCCUUUUUUCUUCUUUUUUUCUCAUCUGUCGGUUGCUGGCAGCCGGACAAAACUCUUCUUUUGUCUCUUGUUUUUGCUUCUUACAAUCUUCCAUGGGGGCGCGUCAGCGCACCCACUAUGUAUAGCCCCCGAGAUUCGGGCCGACUGCUGAGCAGUCGGGCCAGAUCUUCCAGUAACUACUUUGUCUUCUUUCUUGCGAGGGCGCGUCAGCGCACCAGCUGGGUGUAGCCCCCGAGAUUCGGGCCGAUUGCUGAGCAGUCGGGCCGGAUCUCCCGGCGACUACUUUGUCUUCUUCCUCGCGGGGGCGCGUCAGCGCACCCGUUCAGUGUAGCCCCCGAGAUUCGGGCCGACUGCUGAGCAGUUCGGCCGGAUCUCCUGGCGAUUACUUUGUCUUCUUUGUUGGAGUUGACGUUCUUUCUCUUCUUUUUUUUGUAUGCCCGUAUAGUCGGACGGACACUUCUUCUUCUGCUUCGUUUCUCGGACGCCCUCUUUUUUUACCAACAGUCGGACUCUCUUUACUUUCUGUCCUGCCGGGUGGGCAGCCGGGCAUAUUUUGUCAUUUGGCUGCUGCGUUGACCCAGCCGACCUCUUUUUUUUGGCAGCGACUUCUCCUCCAGCCGACUGGGCAGCCGGCAGCGUCUCUCUCUUUUUUCUUCUUUUUUUCUUGGCAGCAGCCGACUUCAACAUUUUUUCUAGCCGGCCGUCCUUUUUUUUCCAGCCGGCCAUUGGGCAGGUGGUCCUUUUUCUAUCUGCAUGGAGUAGCCAGCCGGGGCACAACUCGACGGGGUGCCAAGCCAAGGCGGGCCGCAGGCGAAGGCGGCCAGUCAGGGAGUCGGCCACCCGGGGAUGGGAUGCGGUUAGGGCGGAGCAGAGGGGUGCGGCGACCUGGCGGCCGGGCGCUGGCGAUGCCGGCCGCGCGGACAGAGCCGGGGCUACGAGGGAGGGAGCCGGUAGCCGGCGGCGGCGCAGGCGGCCACGGGUGCACCCAGCGGGNNNNNNNNNNNNNNNNNNNNNNNNNNNNNNNNNNNNNNNNNNNNNNNNNNNNNNNNNNNNNNNNNNNNNNNNNNNNNNNNNNNNNNNNNNNNNNNNNNNNNNNNNNNNNNNNNNNNNNNNNNNNNNNNNNNNNNNNNNNNNNNNNNNNNNNNNNNNNNNNNNNNNNNNNNNNNNNNNNNNNNNNNNNNNNNNNNNNNNNNNNNNNNNNNNNNNNNNNNNNNNNNNNNNNNNNNNNNNNNNNNNNNNNNNNNNNNNNNNNNNNNNNNNNNNNNNNNNNNNNNNNNNNNNAGGCGGACGAGCGGGCGGAGCCGCGUAGCAAGAGAGCAGGGGGUGGAGGCCGACAGGCGUAGGCGGUCGAGGCCACGGGGGCGCGCGCAGGCGUAGCAGAGGGAGCGCGGCGACGGGGAGACGCGCGUGCGGGCCUCAGCGCCCAUGAGGUGGAGGCGGCGGGCGCGCGCACGCGCGAAACUGGGCGAGGCAGAGACCGGGGUGGCCGGGCGGGGCCGAUGCGCGGGGAGCGGCCGGUGGAGGCACUCGGGCGCGGCGGGCUGGUGGUCCAGGGACACGUAGGGACAGCCGCAAGAGGAGCUGCAGUGCCCGCGGGCUUGGGCGGUGGUGGAAGCAGCGGGCACAGCAGCAGGCAGUAGAAGCAGUAGGUGGCGGCGUUGCUGCAGGGAGUUCGACCGACCAUUGAUGGAGGAGGAGGAGGCCGGGAGGGGCUCGCCGGCGCGGCCCUUGCCGGAGCCAAUGGUCAGCGCGAGGUGGAGGAGCUCGGGCGUGGCCCGGCGCUGGUGCUGUGUUUUGGCUUUCGGUUUGCAUUUUUUUCGCCCCUGGAUGAGAUGGACGAAAUUCGGCCAUUUCAAAAAUUCCGAUCAAAUAUCGGACGAAAUUACAAAACUAAAAUUUGAAUUUCAAAUGAAAUUUGACUGAAAUCUUGUGGAAAUUCUGCUGAAAAAAUUGAAAACAAGAAGAGCAAAAAUAUAGCAGUAGAACAACUCUAAGGAGUACGUAUGUACGUAUAUAUUCACCAAACUUUGCAUCAGUCAAACAUCACCAUCAGAUCCACAAAGAUUGAAACAAGGACGGGGAGAUGUGCUGCGGAGUUGAGGAGUUGCCGCUGGAUUCACCUGCAUCCCGCAGCCAGCAGAGGUCAGCAGCAGGGGCCGGGCUGCUGGGAUGACCCGAACGGGGCAGGAGCGGCACGCUCGAGCUGGGAGGCAGCCGACGACGAUUGGAGGAGCCGCGAGCCCGCGACUGGGCGCAGCGCCACCACCGCCGCACACACGGGGGACUGGGGAUCAUGAAUUGUUUAGGGUUCGGGCGUGGUUCGAUAGGCAAACUGUGGAGAGGCCACAGAAGUUGGAUUGGGCCAAAAACAAGUUCAAAGAGGGCCGAAAAUUUCGGCUGACACAGACAAUUAUCAGGCCAGGCGAGAUGGCCGAAGUAGGAGGAGGCAGGGGCUGCCCGCUGGAGCAAAGCGAGGCAAUGUAUGGCUAGUGUACGGGAUAUGUUCGACUUGUGUAUGGCUAUGCGUUGACCAUUGCUUGACUCGCAUCUAGCUAGCUAGCAUAGAUGAUAUAUGGAGUAGAGAACACCCGCUCUGGCCAGAGCAAAGCGCAGCGCGGAGGGGAGUAGACACGAGCAGCGCGUGGAUGGACACGGCCGACCGAAACGAGGCCGCACGUGCGGCAGGAGUGCGGACGGACGGCCGGCAUUGUGGUGGUGGCGAAGAGGGUGAGGCCGACGAUGAGGGCCCGCCGCCCCUCGCGGCCACUCCGGGGGCGUGUCGAUGUCGAGCCUCCGACUGCUAUCAAAGAGACGGCGCGACACCGCGGCGGUGGAGACAAAGAUGGUCCCGCCCGGACUGCGAAACAAGCAGCAACAAGCCCCAUGGUGUGCGCCAACAGUCGUGGUAUUCGUACGGGGGGGUGGGGGGUGGGGGGGGGGAGACGACGGAUACCACAAGGUGGCUUGAGUGUGAGGGCAAGACUGUUGCCGGAUUAUCCGGAGACGGGUAUGCGAGUAGCACGCGCUGGUUUACCCAGGUUCGGGGCUCUCCGGAGAGAUAAUACCCCUACUCCUGUAUGUCUGAGUAUAUAUGUGGGAUGUACAUCGGGCAGUACAAAGUUCUUCUGGAGCUAUAUCUGAUAUCAGUAACAAUGAGAGCUAGCUAGCUAGUGUGGCACAUGAGCUUGGCCAUGUAUGGUCGUGGGAGUGUGUGCUCCCGUGAGUGCUCUUACGUGAGAGUGUGUGGUGGGUGGAUGGAUGGAUGUGUGCUUCGUAUAGGCAUGACUAGCUUAGCAUGUAAGCUAUGCGGUGGCAUGGGAGCAAGGGGCAUGGUGGGGUGUCAUGCUUGUCUCCUGAGUCACUUCAUAAAUAGUAUCCAGGGACAAAUGACACUAUACAUGAUAACAUGAGGGCAUGAACAGUGCUCAGGUACAGCCGUCUCGUCGGUGUCGGGUCGGUGCAGCGGCCGACUCCGCGCAGCAGGCCGGCUGGAGCAACAGGCCGGAGGAGUAGGCCGGGUGAUGAGUCGGCUCGGGUAGUCGGACAGGGAGCCGUCUAGGGCGGCCUGAGCAGUCGGACUGAGGGGCUUUCGCUAGCCCCGAUGUCUUGAAAUAUCAUCUUGCCGUCUUCGAGGUACCCGUGGCCAAUUAUCCCGACAGUGAUCCUCUUUCACAUGCUACUCAAGCUUGAGUAGAUAAGUGAUCCCCGCACGCUGCUCCUUCACCUUGCGUGUGCGUCAUGUUUCGUGAUUGAGCCAAGCUGAUGUUAGACCUAUGUCAUGUUUGCACUUAAUUUUUGCUGGUCAAUAACAGAUUAUUAAUUGACCAUUAGUUAUGAGUCAUUAAAGGACACGCCACAAAUCUGAGAUGUCUGAUCACGGGCUGUUGCAUAAUUGGACGUCUGUCCAGCCCAGGUCUCCCUACCCCGACUACGCCUAUACAUUGGAGGCAUCGGCAACCCUAGCUGCCAACCAGAUCAGAUCACAUUUGCCUCCUGGCACACACCGCCUAUCGUUGCUCCUCUGGUUGUUGUUGCUUUCGGCAAUCCCAUCCCGUCCACCGUAUGCACAGUUAUACGACAGAGUAGGCCUCCAGGACCCAAGCCUUUAUGAUCCUGCACUAAGAGAAGGGCGAUUAAGUAUUUGGGGAGCGUCAUCUGCGCGAAUGCUCGCCGCUAUUCGUCUUUGUCCACUACAUCGUCUAUCUCCAUAUUGCCUUAGUCAUCAACAUGUCCACCGAAGACGAAAAGCUCGUUGCCUAGAAGAUGGCCACCCAGGAGACUGUUGUCGCCGCCGGCGCCACGGCUACGACCUGGCCGGCUGGAGGGUAUAACUUGUUUAUCCCGCUCUUGUUUAUUUCGUGUUAGCCAUACUAGCUAUUUACAUAGAUAUUUCUGAUAUAUGUCUAGUACGUGCUUACAAGAUCAAAUAUGAGUAUUUGGUCAAUAUUGUCAAUACCAUGUUCAUGACUUAUUUCUAGAUUAAUUUAAUUUCCUAAUAUACUCAACAAUUCAAAAACCUAAUACUUUUUAGCAAUUUUUGAUUAAUGGCUUUGCCGCUAUACUAAAACUAGCCCUGUUUACAGGAACAUACUUUAAGCAUUGGUAGACCAAAACUAUUUUGUGACUCACAACUUUGAUGUUGUUCUGGGUCGUUAGUGACACUUUUGAAGGAAUGAUUACUUCUGUAUUGAAGAAUGCGUUCAGGGAGUCAACUAUCAUCUUUGUUGGAGCUAUUCUGAGUGUGAUCCGAGAAAAACUAGUCGACACAUAUUUACUUUGCGGGUUGCCCAGGACUUGUGGAAUGCGCUUGAAGCAAAAUUCGGUGCAACCGAUGCUGGAAGUGAGAUAUAUGUCGUGGAGCAGUUCCAUGAUCACACAAUGGUUGAGGACCGCCCUGCAUUGGACUAGACUCAUGAGAUAUAGUACAUUGUUAAGGAGCUCGAGCUUCUUAAGUAUGAGUUAUCGAGCAAGUUUGUCACGAGUUGCAUAAUUGCUGAACUUCCUCCUCCCUGGAGGAGUUUUCUUACCAGUCCGAAACAUCAGAGACGUGAAUUCUCGGUAGAGGAUGUCAUUAGUCAUCUGAGUGUCGAGCAGACUCCAAUCAAAGGGCUCGGGGUAAAAGGGCUCCAGGAGCUUCUGUCGCCAAAUGGUACAAAAAACUUCCACAACUUAAAGGGAAAGAACGGGCUCCAACAGACUACCGACAUCAACAAGAAGGGUAAGAAGACCUUCAAAAAGGACAAGAAAGACAAGAAAAAAGAUAUUUGGUUUACUUGUGGUUUUGAGGAACAGUGGACCAAGAAGUGCCCGAACAAGCACCAGAAACCAAGAAAGGACCCCAAGUCUGUCAACAUGAUUAUGAGCAAGAAUGAUAAUGGGGCAUCUCAAUACGGUAAUUCAUUUACUGUAUUGUCAGUUUAUCAGUAUACGGAUUGGUGGGUUGAUGUCGGUGUAAAUAUUCAUAUGUGUGGUGAUAUUUUGUUGUUCUCUUCUUACCAGGUCACAUGAGAUGCGUCUGGUCCCCAUUCUCUAGCAGUACUCUUCAUUUUGUGUACUUUUUAUUAUAUUUGUCAUAUUUAAAGGUGUGAAGCUAGUUUUGUCGAAGAUUUUAUUUUAUCUUGAUUAUUGAAAAAGUGGACAACCAUUUUUAGGUUUAUGAACAUUUUUUAUUGUAAAUGUGUUGAAUGUACCGAUUGAAAUGUGCAUGUUGAUUAUUUAUGGUUACAAUUCAAAAUAGCGGCUCAACAGCAUAUGGUAUGCAUUUGAUCUCACAUAUCCACAAAACAACAAAACCAAAAAAAUUGAAUUUGGAAUCCAAAUCCCACCAAAUAAAAUCCUUGCAGGAAUCUAUUUUCAUUUCAAUUCUACCAAACGAAAUGAAAACUUGGGUCUAAAACGAGUUUCUAGGGAAAUUUGUCCCAGUAAACAUCCAUGUGAUACUUAAUGCAUUCCGACCUGCCCAGCAGCAGUGACACACAUAACAAGUUGUUGCAUGCCGACCAGAUCAGCCAACGACUUCGUUUUUCAUGGUUGUUCAAAGUUCGGCAAGUCGACCACUGAAUUCCUACCAAGCGCCAGAGAACUUGAAUCCCGAUUCAGAUCAAGAGCAAGGCGUUGGGGUUUGAAGAUAAUUUCACCGAAUCUGAUUGCGAUAGCACGAUGCAUGCACACUCCGUCGCUCUUGUUGUUCUUCACCCAUUGAUUGGUCUGACGUAGGUCUGCAGCAAUGCAGCAGUGCACUCCGUGUGGAUUAGUUUGUUGCCCCGCACACCUACGUUCCCAUACCUCCCAAUCCCACUACACCCUUGACGCUACGUAAGUACACCGUGAACAAUUGUAAGUCUGGCAAACUAGCAAUAGAUGAACCACGCUCCUAAGCUAACCCUUUAAGGCCAAAUCGUGUAUUGACAACCGAGACCAACCGACGAUUUAUAAAGGCCCUACUGAGACCAAUGAAUGUGGUAUAUAUCGCCAUGUAGGGCCACUCUGACUGCAAAAUUUAAAAGCUGGUAUCUAAAUCUAGACGUAUGAGACGAGUAAUUGGGCUCGACCCCAGUAGCUAGCAAAGCCGAGAUGUCUGAGUGGGUUUAAACACAACACGGAGGAACAUCGAUGCCGGAACUAAGAAAACCGAGGAGAAAAUGUUCUUUCUGAAAAAAAGGAGACAACGUUGCAUCAACUUCAAGUUGCCAGUAACAUUAUCUAUGUCAUGUCAAUUACAUACUGAUCUUUGAGAUGAGAAAUAAGAUUAUUUGAGGCAAAAUAAACCAGUCUAGUUUUUUGAAAUGCGGCCCCUUAGGACCCGAUUCAUUAAGAAUGUCGAAGAGAGUUGCCUAGUCAAUUAAUGAAAAACCAUGCCAAAAUUGUCACAACAGGCUAGCAAAGGUAGGGCACACAUGGCAGCCUGGCAACCAACAAAAGAACGCACAUAUGUCGUCGAGGAGAAAUGCGUCGUCGAGGUUGCAAUCUGAUGUCAUUGUCAUCACACCUCCGCGAGGGCGACUCCGACUCCACCAUCAACGACCACCGAUGUAGCCCUCACCGUAAAUAACCGCCGACACAAACCAUAACAAAACUUGAAGGAGCACCAAAACACAGAGCCCUUCCGCCAGCAAGGGCCGGGAUCCUUCGCACACCCAUGGUCAUAAGGCCAUAGGAGACGUGGCAGAUCGGCGGUGCCGCCGACGGAAGGCAGAAACCCUAGCCGCCUUUCCUUAGGAGGAGAGACGCGCGCUGCAGGUGGAUGUACGGUACUGCUACACAUUUGUUAUAGAUAGAAGACAUUGUUGAAUCAUAUACCUCAUGUUUUUUUUUGCGGGAAUUAAAGUGCAACUAUCCUUAGGUGGUUUUGGUAAUUCCUAACAACAUAUAGCUCAUUGAACUAAUGCUAUUCCAAGAUGAAUAUUUCAGGAAAGCUCAAUGAUUGACAUGGAUUAGAAAGUGGACCCUUCAAAAUGCGAAAGAUAAAUGAUUGGCUCAAGCUCAAAGCACAAGACUCUACAUUUUCUAUUUUAGUGAUCCAAGAUCACAUUGAGUCUAUAGGAAAAGUCAAUACUAUUAAGAAGGGAUGAGGUGUUGCUUAAUGAGGUGCUUGCUCAAAAUGCUUAGUGAUAUGCUCCAAAACUCUCCACUACUUUCUUAUAUCCACAUAUGUCCCACACCAAAUAUCCAACUCGGCCCCACCGAUUCUUUCUAUCCGGCGCCACCGAGUUCAGUUGACAUAGCCACUGCCAGAAACCCUAGUCUUUUCGGUCUCACCGAUAAGGAUCUCGGUCUCAUCGAGAUGGGAUUGUAACCUCUCUGUUUCCCCUCGUAACGUUUCGGUCAAACCGAGAUGAGCGAUCGGUCCCACCGAGAUUGCAAUGCAAACACUCUGUUCCCCUUUCGUAACGUUUCGGUCCAACCGAGAUGAGCGAAUCGGUCCCACCGAGUUUGCCUGACCAACUCUUUGUUUGUCUAUUACCAAAAUCGGCCCCACCGAGUUUGUGUAAUCGGUCUCACCGAGAUUACAUUAUGCCCUAACCCUAAUGAAAUCGGUCCCACCGAGUUGACAUGUCGGUUCCACAGAAACACCUAACGGUCACAUUAUGAACCAAAUCGGUCUGACGGAGUUCUCUGAAUCGGUCCCACCGAGUUUGGUGAUUUGUGUGUAACAGUUAGAUUUUGUGUGGAGGCUAUAAAUACCCCUCCACCCACUCUUCAUUAGUAAAGAGAGCCAUCAGAAUAUGCCUACACUUUCAAUACAUAUUUUUUGAGAACCACCUACACUUGUGUUGAUGUCAAGAUAUUCCAUUCCAACCACAUAAACCUUGAUCUCUAGCCUUCUCCAAGUUGCUUUCCACUCAAAUCUUCUUUCUACCAAAUCUAAUCUUAUGAGAGAGAGUUGAGUGUUGGGGAUACUAACAUUUGAAGCACAAGAGCAAUGAGUUCAUCAUCAACACACCAUUUGUUACUUCUUGAAGAGUGGUGUCUCCUAGAUUGGGUAGGUGUCACUUGAGAGCCUCCGACAAGAUUGUGGAGUUGAACCAAGGAGUUUGUAAGGGCAAGGAGAUCGCCUACUUCAUGAAGAUCUACCCUAGUGAGGCAAGUCCUUCAUGGGCGACGACCAUGGUGGGAUAGACAAGGUUGCUUCUUCAUGGAUCCUUCAUGGACCGCGCAACCGUUACCCUCCGUGGGUUGAAGUCUCCAUCAACGUGGAUGUAGAUAGCACCACCUCACGGACAAAAAAUCUCCGUGUCAACAUUGCGUUUGCUCCCUCAAACUCAUCCCUUUACCUUCAUAUUCAAUUGUUUUACAUUCCAUUACUAUACUCUUAGAAUUGCAUGUGUAGGUUGAUUGCUUGACUUGUGCUAUGUUGCUAAAAUCUGCCAAGAACUAAAAUUGGGAGAAGGCUAGAUUUUUAUUUGGUCAAGUAGUCUAAUCACCCCCCCUCUAGACAUACUUUCGAUCCUACAGGGAAACUUCGAGCUUUAUUCAACCAAUCUCUGUUCCCGCACGAUCAGCCAAAACACUGGUCAUGAGGAAGCCAGGAGGGGAGUCCAUCCAGCAGUCAGUAAUCCCCAGGGUGCAGGCAUGCUUAGCAUACAAGUGGGCCGACAUAUUGGAGUUUCUCAAUACAUGUUGAACAUCAAAUGAAAGAAAGGAUAAGGCUAGCUCUUCUAUUUCUAGUAAUAACGGUGCUACGAUGGAGCGCGGAAAACGUCGCGAGUGACAUAGUUGAACCAAUUCUAAGCAAUCUGUUUCCAUGAGCACUUGCAAGAAGCCUCGAAGCUGUGCGAAAAUCACCCCAUCUCGCAUAGCAAACGCUUCUGCUAUUAUGGGAUCUGUGAUGUCGGGGUAAGGUUUGCUCCAGGCGGCAAUGAAGGUCGAGGAAGUUCGUGCCACUCCUCCAGCUCCACUCUUAUGUUCAAUCACUGAGACACUAGCAUCUAUGUUCACUUUUACCCAGCCUUGAUCAGGUGGCCUCCAACCAUAGCCAGGUAAAACCUUGGUCUGUUCCAAGGAAAGCUCCAAUAGGCAAGAGCUUCUCUUAUGCGUUUGAGAGAUUGCGCCGGGUUCAUACUCACUUUGUCAUGCGUUAUGUUAUUGCGAGAGGCCCAUAUAGCCCACAUAACAGUGACAAUUUUCGCCCGAUCACUUUCUGAGAACCGGGAGUCGCAAAGGAUAUCCUUGCACCAAGUCAUAUGAUGUAAUUCCGGUAGCUUGAUAUGCAGCCAAUUCCGUGCUUCUAUCCAGAUCGUUUGAGCAUGUGAACACUUGAUCAAUGCAUGCAUCAAAUCUUCAUCCGCUCCCAUGCAAACUUUGCAACGUGCUAAUGUUGCAAUAUGCCUGAACUGUGGUGUUCUCUCCACCGGAAGGAUACCAUGGAGGACCCUCCACCAGAACACACGCACCUUAGGUAGCACUUUGAGCUUCCAUAGUCGCGUCCUAUACCUCCUGUAGGGUUGGGAAUACCGAGAAAAAAAAUGUACAACCCUUAGCGAGAGCGCAUGCUAUAUUGACCGGGCCAUUCCUGGUUUCCACCCCACUAGUUUUCGGAAGGUUUCUAGAACCUUCCCUGAACCAGUUUUCUGUGUGUGUGUGUUUUCUUUCGGUCUUUGGUUUCUUUUUUUUUCAAUUUAUAUUUCUGUUAACAUUUUCUGAUAUUUUAAUGUUUUUUGAAACACAGUAAAAUUUUCAAAUCUAUGAAGAGUUUUUUACAUAUUGGAACUUUUUUUCAAAUUCGAGAACAUUUUUUUUGAACUUCAGGAAUGUUUUCCUGUUUAUAACUCUGGGAACAUUGGUAAAAUUAAUGAACAUUUUUAAUACAGGAACAAAUUUCAAAUUCAUGAAUAGUUUUUGAAAUCCUAGACCAAUUUUCGAAAUCAUGUGCUUUUUCAAAUUUUGGAAUAGUUUUUAUCACAUUUCUGCAUGUUUUUUAAAUCCAGCAACAUUUUUCAAAUUCAUGAACGUUUUUUGAAAUUUAAGAUCAUUUUUUACUCCCUUGAUUUUUUUAAAUUAGGAAUAUGUUUUGAAAUUCAAAACUUCAUUUAAAUCUCAAAUAUUUCUUAAAGAAGUAAAAAUGAAUAACACACAAAACUGUAAGAAAAAAGGAAAAAAACUGGGGGCACCUCGCCUCACAAUUGGCCAGCCCAAAGGACGCACGGGGGUUGGCGGGUGCGUGUUUGCUUCACUCGUGCCGCACUAUACUGGGACUAGGAGGUCUUGACAACGCCUAUCAGUCAAGCUCAGAAAUUUUCUCAUUGUGGAGCUAAAAUUUGGCAUGACCACUGCUAACACCUACUACCACUCGUGACACCUACCUAGAUAUUACAAGUGUAGUCCUAAACAGUAGCAAUGUCUCCAUAAUUGCGUUGUUAUUACUAGGUCGCCACUCGACUGUUGUACGCUAAGCCUUGUCAUCUGCAUAUAAUGCGAGAUUAGGGGAGAAUCUAGACAAGACUACAAGGUUCAGCCAGCUUACAAGCAUACACCUCACACACGGGCAUCAGACCCUGCAUUCUAACAUUUUUGUGCAAGGCUUCGUAAGAAACACCUAGCAUGAGUUGGGUAUUACCUCUACAAACAAAGAGUCCAAACCUGGGUGAAAGAUCUUUUGUGUGAAAUCUCAUGACUAGAUCAUCUGCGCGAGCCCUCUUCAAAAAAUCUGCAAAUCGUGAGUAUUGUCGUGAAAUCCCGGUGACAAGACAUGAGUUGAUUUCAUUAUGUCAUUUGAGCUCUCAUGUAACAAAAAAAUAUUAGUAUGUAAAAUUUGAAAUAAAACUCUGUAUUUAUUUUGCGUACAAAAAAGUGCAUUCUAGGUACUGGAAUCAGAUCAUUUAUAUAUGUUUUAUGAAUGAUCAUUUUUAACUCUGAUGGCCGACACAAUGCUCCACAUUUUUCCCACAAUAAACAUUGGCCUUUGUUAUAUAUUUUGUAGCUUGUUCAGGAAUUUAAAUAUAUGCAUGGAUCCGUUUUUCUAGCCGUGAAAAUCUCAGGAAACCAACAUCGGAUAUAUGAUCUCUCACAUAAGGAAAUAACUGAAUAUACAUGGCCAAACAAACAAUUCCGCUAACUUUUGUGGUCGCUAGCAUGGAGGGUACUGGAUCGAAGUGACCCCUUUUCACACCAACACAAUGUCAUAUUAUACCUCUAACAUCUAGUCUAGAUGCAAAAUCGAGGAUAGGUGGUACCUUGCUCUUGGGAAUGAGUAAAAGCAACCAGUUGGGAAAGAACACCAGAUUGAGGGACGGUACUUCUAGCAGGUAACAACAGCGUCUGCAACUUCCGGGUGACUCCCAUGCCUACGCACAUGGCACUAGACUAGUAGGAUUAUCUAUCCAAGAAUGAGUGUAGGUACCUAGCCAAGGCAGCAUGCAUUCAGCCAAUGCAAAGAGGAAGGGCCAGCAUGCUCGAUCUAUUUAAACGGGUAUCUCGCUCGUUUAUUUUAUUCAAUGUUAUAUCUGUAAAGGUGGGGAUUCUCAAAGUGUAUUAUUUUGGUGGGGAUAAGAUGCACCAACACUGACGAGUUCAUACUCCAUCGCAAGCUGAAUAUUUUUGAUGAGCACCGAGCAUGUGCGCCGUACUAUGUUCCUUUCAAAUUAAACGCGCAUUCUUGUGCCGCUCUAGUUCACAGCUUUUCUCAAGUAUUUCCCCGCUUUGACUCAAAGUUAGACAUAAAAAUUAACCACAAAAUAGAAAUGAAUAUUGGCUAGAAGUAUGCUAUCCGGACAUGCACUUGGCGCCAAUGUGGUAUGUUGUCAUGCAUACUUCAAAAGACGUUGAUGACCUGUGGCUCUAUAUCACCAUGGCCUGCCAAUGUUCAUCGUCGGUUGCCCAAAUCCCAUGCUCGUACCAACCUGGGUUGCACUGCUCAUCGUGACCCAGUGCCUUGCUCGUUGCCAUCCGGUGCAUGCAACAUGCCGUCCCUCCCUUAUGGAGCACAUUCCAUCUUAUUUUCACCUUGUGUCAAGGUAAUUGUAAUGAGUUGUUUGCACAACCAGUUGAAGAUGCAUUGCCCAUGGGCCCAGACUGCAGAGAGGCCCAAGUUCGACAUCCCUAAGAGUUCCUGCCGCCUCCAAAUCCUAGAGUGUGCAGCACUGCCCUCCAACUCGGAGGAAGCCACCAGGACGGUGUCCAAUAUAUGUCACACAAGCAAGAAGCAAUGUCAAGAGCAGGGAGGAAUCCUGGCACACCUAGCUAGAGUGAAUGGUCAGACACUACAUCGACCUCUGUGUGUGUGAGAUUAUUCAUUAUAUAGUCGACUAUGGGUCCAACUGUCUGUCAAUAUGGAUGGACUCUACCCGAGAAAAAAAUUGUUGUUUGCGAUCCCCUAGGGACUUAUAUGGAGCUGACAUUUUAAACCCAACAAAAAAUUGGAGGUCGCCAAAGGACAAUCAAGUCGUAUCGCAUCUAAAUAUAAUUAUUCUUCAGAGUUCUCGUACGUCAUACCUUUCAACUCUUAGAUUCUUAAUGUAUAUGUACAAGCUUUAAAUAUAGCCAAGAAAUUUGACAUGAAAGUGUCACAACUUAGGAAGAUGCUCAAGACACCCCAAGCAAAAAUAAUAAUUUCAUGAAAAUGAUUGAACUAGAUAUUAGCAUAUAUGCAGAUUCAGGUUGGCAAAAUGUUCUAGUUAUCUCCCAAGUCAUAUCUAAAGUAAAGCAACCAUACAGUGUUAAGAUAGUUUCGUGUUUGUGUGUUGUGCUCAUAGAUUUUUCUUUUGAACUAAUAAUGUAAUUAACAUAUAAAAUAAAUAUUAAAAAAGUGAUACAUUAUAACUAAAUUAAUGUUUUUGUACACUUGUUGACGUAAUUUAUCCCUAAAUUGUCGAACAGAAGUUACUGAUGUUUAACCUAGUAGUAUCACACAAUGAAGCAAUAAAAUCAAUACUUUCCCACCAAAAUUUAAGACAACCGUUGGGUGAAGUUUUUCCUGGUUGCAUGUUCCUGCAUUAAUUAAUUAGUGCUAUCCAAUGGAGAAAUUCCUUCCAACAGAAGUCGUGCCUUGCAAAAAUGUAGGGCAUAAUCUAGAAUGGUGGAUAUAAACUGGCAACUCAAUUGAUGCUCCGCAUCAGACUGAAGGUUCAAAUUCUCUCGAGGUAACUCAACUAAUUGUCCGAAACUAGUGAUGCAAACAAUAAGAAACAUGGUGCCUACAACCAUAUAACAAGCAGCUUAUCACUAGAAGUGGAAGCAAUGCAGGUAUGAAUAUAUGUGAAGGUACUAUAUCAGUAGGUUGUUUGUACACAAGUCUUCCUGACACUUCCUAAGCCAAGAUUAUGUGGUGCCAUUGGUAUCUCAAUGUCAUCCUCCACCUCCAUUAUGUGAGCUGUCACAAUGUGUGUUUUGUGCGCCUCACAUGCAGGUAGCAACACCGAGAGGUGGAAUGAGGCAGGAAAUUGGAGUAAAGUCGGUGAGAGAUAAUAACAGCAGUGAAUUUCUAUAUAUGUGGGGUUUCUUACUCUUUAUAUCUUUUAUGUGUCCAACUGUCCAGAGGAACUAGUUGGUCUUUUGCGUGCCAGUGGAACAUAUGGAGACGGCAUAACGAGCUAAACUGUGUGAAGGUAUGAUUGAAGGAAAAGCAUCUUAUGGCGCCUGCCAAUGUUUAAUAUUCCCAACAUGUAAGCUGCUUCUGAAGCUGACCCAUGUUUUGGUAUCUAUGACUUCAACGUCAGAACAAAGGCAAACGCUUUGGGUGCAAUAAAAACAGACUAUCAACGAGAUCAAAGGACUCCAGGUAGUCCAGGCAUAAUCCCUUAAUUUGGGAACCAAUCUUAGGCGCAGUCUCCUAGGUAUACAUGUCAGGAAGCAAUACGUUGACAGGGAGGUGAGCCUGCUCUAUAUAAAAAGGACACGAUAUACGAUGUACAUCCUUAUUGAACUACGUCGUCUAGGUGUUCCUAUUUAGGUGAGCCUAGUUUUAUCGUCACUGUCCAUGUACUGUCAAGGACCAUUGCCGGAGUACAUUCUUUCCUUGCACCGGGCUGGUUCCAUUGCUUGCCUUUCCAUGAAAACCGUGCGUUGAAUUCUUUUCACCAUUGAAGCUGGGGCCACAAAAAAAACCCG